AUUGAUCUUUUUCUCCAACAACACGCUCGAUGCGGUAGCAUCACCCUUUGCAACGAUCAAGGCUGGUAAGUCCAUCGAUCCAUACAGUUGUCCAUGUACCAGUAGAAGAUUCGGCAGCUACCGCGGCCCCUGCUUCUUCAGGUGGAACUCCAGGUUGAGGAGUUACUCGGAAUGAUCAAGGCUGGUAAGUCCAUCGAUCCAUACAGUUGUCCAUGUACCAGUAGAAGAUUCGGCAGCUACCGCGGCCCCUGCUUCUUCAAGGUGCCCCACGUAGGUUUUCCUCGAAACCCCCCACUAACUAAGGUAAACAACAUAGAAAAAGCACCUAUUUCUGUACCGGUUCCAGAAGAGCAAAGAAAAAGGGGAUGUUUUGUUAAUAGGAACAAAAAAGUGUUUAUAGCCAUAACGAUAUAAACAAGAAUACUUAUCUGUGGCUUGGAUAUGGUUAUUAUUCUCGGGUCACAGUAAGAAAGGACGCAAGAGGCGAAAGAAUCCCUUUACCUUAUUUACAAAAAAAGAACGCGGUCGAUCGGAGUACCCUUCCUCCUUUUUGAGGCUUUUAGGCCUCCGGUCAGUCAGGGGUUGACAUGAGACCGGAUUUUGGGGGGAAUCCAUUCUUUGCCCUGCUGUCUGUGGUAAGUCAGUCUGCUUUGCCUUCUCGCUCGAAUUCUUUUCAAUGUAAUUGAAUUCAAUAGUAUGACUUCUAUUUCAUUGCUAGUGUCUGUGGUAAGUCAGUUUGCUUUGAUUCUAUUAUUAGUUCUAUUGUUACGAUCUGCUUGUGUUUCAGGAAAUCAAAUCGAAGUCAAUUCAUUUAACAAUGCCCCCCCCCCAGGACAUUCUGUAUUGGUCUGUAUCUUUAAUAUUUGGAAACUUAUAAAUUCUUCCGUCAAACCUUGAUCAAUGAACCUACAAAAUCCUUCAAAUUGUAUCUGAUUAAAUCCAGGUAUUGUAGAUAUCCCCUCAUUUCCAUCCCCGAGCAUUUUUAUUUCGCAUUUAUUCUUCCUUCUCAAGCAGAUGCCGAACCUCAUUAUUUAGUGGCUCUCCAAAGUCAAAGAGAUGGGUGGGGGCCUUUCUGAUAGGCGGGACAAAGCGCUUUCAAUGGUGAUGAAAGAAGGGGAAAUGCCUGUACGGUCAAUAUAUUCUUCUUGCUUACUCGCUCAGCUCUAUAUACUUAUAUAUUAGUUAGCUCGUUCGCUUUCAGACUGCUACCCGCUCGAACUAUUACUAUUAGCUAAACAACCCUUUCUUUGUGUUUAACCGCGGUUAAACACAACCAAAGCAAAGGGAGGAAAGAGCUAUAAGGAAGACUGAUUCACUCGCUUUCGAGAACUAAGAUUUACAGCUUAUUCUCCGUUCGCAGCUCAUUCUUCAACAGGCACGCGGUCAGAGCCUAAGCUAGUGAUGCUUUCAGCUACUAGACUUUCGCCAUCUAGGGUGCAGCAUUCGGGCUGCUUCGCCUAGCUGCACGACAUCAAAUCAAUAUCAAAUAAAAGAUUCUCCAUCCCUUCUUUAUACUCGUCUAUCCCUCGAUCAACUAGAUGGGCCUAGGAUAAGGCAUUAAAAAACCGUCGAUAUGUGGGGUGAUCGAACCGACUCAUCUACAACUCAUAUUUGAAAACAAGAUGCGCUCCUAAGUGAGGAGGGGGAAAUGAAAGUAAGAACCAUGCGCAUGGAUGAAAGAGCGCGCUUUGAGGUCUCGUAGGAAAAAGACAAAACAUAGGUAGGCUUCCACGCGGAGUGAAGGUAACUAGCCAAUUCCCCAAGGCCGCUCCGUGGGGCAUUUUGUGAGUGCCAACCGGGUGCAGCUGCUGGACGUAGCACAAUUCUGCUAAAACUUGCAAAAAAGCUCUGCAUCUGUCUGUUCGAGUUAGCGAUAGGCCAGCAACCUUUGGCUCCCCACACGGUUGUGGCCGGCUACACGGGAAGGAGCCCCUCUGCUUACAAGUUUGCUAAGGAUUGGCAGCAGCAAACUGAGAUUGCUAAGGCUUAAACCUUGGAAAGGGCAGCUAAUGUUCGAAAGGCCCAACGGAUCACCAUAGGAUAGAACCCUUGCGACCUGCUCCCCUCUGACUACUAAUGUUCGAAAGCCCCAACGGAUCACCAUAGGAUAGAACCCUUGCGACCUUCUCCCUUCUGACUUAGGACUCACUACCCGCUUGAAACCCCUACUUGUGUCUUGCUUAAGACUAGAACCCGGACUGCAUUCACUCAACGCUUCCCUUUUUACUUGAAUUUUCAGCGAUCGUUUUCUCUACUAUUUUAGCGAUUAUGAUAGAGAUAAAGCUCUUCAGAUGGUGUUUUAUAUUGUAUAAUUCUUGAUCAAGAGCAUCUUGCCCAAAAACAAGAAAGAGAUAUACGAAAUCAACCAAGACAAGCACACCGCGCGAAGCGAAUGGGCGUUGUGCCGUGGGUCAGUUUCAGGAUGGGGAGCGUAGAGAGACCAGAAGAAUAAUUCAUUUGGAUCGACGAGCUUUUUCAGCCCAAAAACAAAGAAUCAAUGGAAUGUCUGUCUAUCCAUGAACAUCUAUUCUAUCUGUAUAUCUAGGGGAUCUCUCUAUACAUAUAGAUUUUUUUUAUGGAAUGAUAUGAUCGGCUAGCCGUAGCCGCAUCCGUAAUAGGUAUUGGUAUAUACCCGUAUUUCGUUCUUUCAUUAGCAGUUGACAAGGUCAAAGUUAUUCUAUCUAAUUUUUUUAUAGAUAAUUUGGAUGACAGAAAUGAAAAAACCCAGAUUGUACUAAAGACAAUGAAAAAGUUUAAAAAUGAGAGACUUAAAAAAAAUAAGUAAAAGCAGAAUGAAUGACAGUCCUAUAUUGACAAGGACGAGCUUUUUUACGAAGAAAGCUUCGCUCCCAACUGCUUGUAUAUCGAUCGGAAAGAAGGAGACACUCUUGUCUGUCGAGUACAUUUAGUAGUCUUGCUCUUCCUUCCUCCAUUGCUGAGGUUAGCUCUAUAUUUUUGUAAUCUCUUUCGAGAUAAAGGUUCUUACAGAGGUGAAGGCACCCAUCUCACAUAAAAUAGUUAGAAAGCUCGCGCUCCAUUAAGUGUAUAGAUUGGUAGGAAGGCCGACCACUACAUAAGUCUCCAUCCGUCUAGGAGAGAAGCAAGCUAUCUUUCUUUGAUCCCCCUUCCCGGGCAGGGAAGAGAAAAAAUGGACCGCAGAUGGAAGUCGUGGGCAGCCCCUAUUGCCCAAGGGAAAGGUCACGCUAGGCCAUUCUAGAACCUUCUAUAGAAUGCUAGCUUCUUGUAGCUUUUAUGGCAGCCCUUUUGGACUCUCAAUCAAAGGACGGUGUCUAUCAAUCUCCUGGCCGAAGUCAGUGUUCAACUCCGCAGGGGUUUCCAAGUCCAAUCCGAGUAUUCACGCCUAUGGACUCCCCUUUUGCCGAGAAAAAGAAAACAAUUUGACUUUUUGAAGUCAAUAAAAGAUUAUAUAAUAAAGUGGCGGGUUAGAUAGCAAGAGCAACUAGAUCAGUAAUGGAAAGGGUGGCUAAAAUGGAUAGAUCUCUUUUACCCGGGGGUCUAACUGGAUACCUUGAAAAGCUCUCAUCUUUUUGUCUAGAACAACAGAAUCAAGAGGAGCAGAGCGAACAAAAUCCGCUUUGGGGUGAAUUCCCUCCCCUAGGCACAGGUAGCUUGACCGCCUUACCCUUCAUUGAAAGUAAAGGUGCCCUACGAUAAACUACUCUCAUCCAUCUUUUUUAACCUGGUAUCAUUCUGGCACAAUAUGAGGCAGGGUGGACAUCGGAUUAGCAGGUAUAUAAUUGUUGGAAUGCCCCAAAACAUGAGGACCAUAAAAAAUCCAAAUGGAAGAAAAGAUAGCAAAAGGGAAAUCAAUGCUUUCGCUCGAAGUCCUUGUCACUGUGGAAAACUGGUACUUUCCUAUAGUUGAUCAAGGCUGCUUGAACUUUCAAACCUGGUCAGGUCUUGGAAUCGGGCUAGGAGCAGCUAUUGAAUCUGGUGAUGGCGGUGUGAUAAUGCCAGUCGAAAGGGAAAGAAAGGGUAAGACUUUGGUCAGGCAAUUGUUGCAGUUUCUCAUUCCGCAGAUCAUCCUGGCGUAGAAUCAAGGUUUAUGAUAAAGUCAGUGAAGUUUCCAUGGUGUUCUACCUUUGCGUAGGAGAGGAGAGAUAUCAUCCCGACUAGCUAGCGAUGAGGAGAAAAGAAUCCCAAUGUAUGGUCCUAAUUUAAACACGCCACCUACACGACUCACUACAUAGGUUUAAGGAAUGCAGGAUAAUAUGGUUCCUCAUCCCUCGAUAUAAAGAAGUUUAGAAGGCAAGAAUGAUAAGCAUUCGGGCCUCUAAAGCAAGAUUAAAGUGUCCUCUUGGAUAAGAAGACCUAAAACACCAGUCAAGGGAAGAAGGUCGGUAACAAAAGGGAAUCUUUCUUUUUCAGUUAAGUCUGCGCAUGAAUGAUCCACUUGUAGGAUAAUAUGGUUCCUCAUCCCUUGAUAUAAAGAAGUUUAGAUGGCAAGAAUGAUAAGCAUUCUAGGUCGAUGUGCACCAAUACAUUCUACCUUUGAAAUCUGGCUUUACCUGGGCCGCUUCUCGACCGAGAUCCCUUCGAUGGAUGUCACCGUGCUUGUCUCUUCUCAACUGGAUUUGGCUUCUAUUUAAGACUUUUUGAAUAUUGAAUCUAACUACUAGCAUCGGCCCCGGCAAAGACCCUUCUUUCAUUCGAGCAAAGGGCGCCUAACCUGAAAGAGGAAAUAUCGAUUUUCCUCGAUGCGAAAGAGCUAAGUCAAUAGUUUAUCUGGGACGAAUUCCUACUUACUUUUCUUAGUAAUGGUAACGAAGGUAUUCUCCGCUAUAUCUUUGAUAAAUAGGGUAAAGGAGUAACCUUAUAAAGAGUGGUAGAUAGUAGGUAUUGUAACCUUGAUAGGACAGAUCUAUCGAUAUUCUAUGCUUGAAUAGUAAUGGAAAAGCUUGGAGUAAAGGAAGAUUCCGAUAAAGGAGUGAGUUAAGAUAGCCAUAGCUAUAGUCAAAGUGGAUAGAUGCCUAUAAAACCACUAGGAGAAGUAAGAGUAUCGGAUGAUGGAUCCGGAAACUUCCAAUUCUAUAAGCUGGGGAAGAGCCCUAACUAGGAGGCUUUUUUAGGUUUUUAAACCACCAGGACAGAAUGCUUUUAGCGGACAAUAUAACGCAAUCUAUCAAUUGUUGAGCUAAACCAGCUUUUUACCCUAAAGAAUAACUGGAUUUAGGGAUUUCUUGCUUUUCGGGGCAUAUCUUCCCUGAUCUUUCCUAUAGACUCAAGAGAAGCCAUAACACCCUAUAUUAGAGGGCAGACUGAUGUCUUGAUCGGGCGUAAUGCUCCCCCUUUGUCAUAAGGCGUGCUUUCUCACCACCUAAUGAUGAUCAAAUCAAGAUCAUGGGGUUGCCCGGUUCUAAUUCCAGAUGAAGAAUAGAAUGGAAAUCAAGACCCUGAAGCUUCUUUAGGUCAAGAUGAUGCGGAUCCAAUCUCAUCUCCUGACUGAAGCCAGUGCAGAUAAUUCCUUUUCCGAAUGAAAGGCAAUAUGGGGCGUACCCUAAGGAAGCAAGAAGAACUAGCGUAGCGGGACAUGACAGCGGUUGGGGAGAAGGAAAAGCAAUCAGACAUCAAUCCAAUGAACAGACAAAGCGGCUUGGCCGAAGGGUCAGGAAGAGAGAACGACUAUACUUUCUGAGUUAGAACAUUAGGAACCUUACACCCAAGAAAGCAGCCAAAAUUGUAGAGAAGAUAUGAAGGGAAGCUCUUCGAGCUUUCUCCACCAGCGGCUUAUGUAGUGGUUGGCCUUAUAAAGCUCGCUAAGCCUCACUUCCCUCUCCCCUUCACUUAUUAAUUAAGUGGAAAAUAGUCUUAUUUGUUUUCUCGGCCUUUUUCUGCCGAACCAAACGAAGACUGUCCGAACUAGAAUGAAUACCACACAGAAGAGUCAAGACCAGGCUCCCCAAUGAAAUAUUUAACCGAUGAAAUGAAAGAGUUUCACGGGAAUUUUCUUGACCGUUGGAUAUCAUUAAGAAAGAAAUAGGAAGAAGUGUUAUCGAAUGACUUCCUGCAAUUCUUCCCAGUAUGGAAUGAGUAAAGAAUCAACCUACAAGUCUCGAUCUAUACGAAACGCACUGGUUUUUUUUCUUUCUUUCAGUUUCAUUGAUAGCAGAAAAGACUUACUCUAAAGGGGCGCUAGCGCUUGACUAAUAACCGUACUCCAUCUUGGUAGUUUCCACCGCCUGUCCAGGGUUGAGCCUUGGAUUUGACGGCGGACUUAAAAAGCCACCUACAAACGCUUUACGCCCAAUCAUUUCGGAUAACGCUUGCAUCCUCUGUAUUACCGCGGCUGCUAGCAUAGUGGUUUGACUGCUGGGAUCCCAAUCGGCCUGCAUCAGCGGAAAAUGGAACUAUCGAAUCACGGGUGGCUCACCAGAAAUCGUUCUAUCAAGAAAUCAUUAGAAAAGCAAUUUUACUCUAUUGGAUUCUCAGUUAGCUGGCUAGAAAUCGAAUUAUCUCACCGGUCGGAUGAAACCACUCUUCUGCGCCCGUAUGAUUCGAUGCCGUCUUCCCACUUCACUAAGAAAAAGUCUCGACCGGCCCAGUAUUGACUUAUUAUAUACAAGUUUUGGCUUUCCCAUGACCCCUAGAUGGAAGUUUCCCGCCUUCCACAAAGAUUCUAUACCAGUAGAAUACACAAGGAUUCUCCACCCAUUAUUAUCUCUAUUAUAGAGAUGAGAUGUCGAAAGAUAGAGAUAGAAUCGAGACAGAUCUUCUUUCUUCUAUCUCUCUUGUGGCAUUCAUCAUCUUGAGUGCACAAUGUGUCUGUCUCUCAUGCGAAUGAGGAAAGCAAGAUAACAGAGUAGCUUCCGCCCACAGAGUCCUCUCCCUUCACAAGGCUGGACUCUCGCUCUCGGUCUCAGAGGCAGAGCGAAGAAAGCCUUAGAUCUUUGCUUGUUUCGUGGUAUGGACCAAAGCAAAGGUUCUGUUGCUAUCGGCACCUACCCAAUUAACCAAUAGUAUAAUUGAUCGAGACCGAAGCUUCUGCAAUUGUGGAAUUCCCCUUCCUCCUGAUCAUCUUAUUGGAAUUUCAAGAAUACUAGUCCUAAGAGCACUAGGAAUGAGAACAACUACAAAGAGGCAAUUCAUUUGGGGCAGGCACCAGACAUGCUCUUUCUUUUUGUAGGUUGAUGGACGACGAUGUACCUGUGCUUUCCCUUUCUGAAGUCUCUCCCUUCCCUUUAGAAGAUCUCAGGGCUUCCAUCCAGUUUGGAUCUUCAGAGCCUGAUGCACCUGAGAGAGCCAUCAUCAUCUUACCGAAUUAGGUUUCGGGUCGGGAAUCUUUGCUCUUCUCUUUUGCAUUUCCGCUGCACCAUAACACUAACUUGACUUUCUAUUAUAUUAGUAAAGCGCUACCGCGCUACAACUAGCAUAGCAGCCUGCGGAAAAAGCUCUAGAGCCCCUACUCCUAAGUUGGAGCAAGAAGCAAGGGAUUGAGCGCAUCUUUCCCCUUUCUAUUAGUAGUAAGGUUAUCAAAAGGCUUUCUGAUUGCAGGGGCGCUAACGCGACCUUCCUUCAGCUGGCUGAAACUAAGGUUGUCUUACAUACACACUUGUGGAAUUUCAUUUUAUUCCGCUUUUUAAAAUAGUAAGAGGGGAAUUGAGUUAAAUAUCCUUGUCCGUAGUUCCAGUGGAUUCAAUUUUGUCUUGCAAACCCCUUAUUCUGUACUCCCCUAUUCUUGAAAAGACCGCUAUGCACCUUGACUUUUGGCUUUUCGUUCUUUCUGCUGCAGCUGUUUAGCUAUAUUCGUCUCCUUUUCUUAGUCCCCAUCAGGAAAGAAAGCUCUAGAGUUCAAGGCUUCCUUGAUUGGUACUACUGGCUUGUCCAUCUACUGGGUGGGACUACUCCGACAUAUUCGGUGCUACGCCCCUAUUAUCCCGUCCUCGAGACUGAACUAAGGCACAUCCCUUCUUUGCUUAGGGUUUGGUUCGGGUUCAGCUUCUGCCGGUCAAAAUAAAAUACCAGGCCGGGGCUUUCUUUCCUGCGGUUUCCGAUAUUGCAAUGGCAAGCAAACAGAAGGUUUCCCUCUUUCGGGUAUAGGCUUUCCCGAUUGAUCCCCUUAUGCCUUUUGCUGCUCCACAAUGCUCUCUCCAAAACAAAACUCAAGUCAGUGAAAGAAGCCCGCAUUCCCUCUCUUCUUUCCCCUAUCGCUAGGGGCCUUGCCUUUAUAAAUGAAAGGCUACAUUCGAUUCUGACAACGGGUAAAGCUAUUUCCCAUCCCUACCUUUAUGCAGGAAUCUAGAGUUUGCUAAGUAGUUUCUAAUCAAGAAGGGUCAGCUCAACAUUAGUCCUGUAUCAGUCCUGACGGUGAGGGCUCUGGUAAUAGUCUUUCUGUUGCUCCUGUUAUCCGCAAGGAAAGGGUCACCGAAGUAGGGGACCGCAGCUAGCGAAGUGAACCGUUAGAAACCGGGGUAUAAAUAACAACAAGUCAGGCAUGAAAGCCAAGUGAAGUGACCAGAGGGUUAGGGUGCGGUGCCAAUUCUUAAGAGUGGUGUGANNNNNNNNNNNNNNNNNNNNNNNNNNNNNNNNNNNNNNNNNNNNNNNNNNNNNNNNNNNNNNNNNNNNNNNNNNNNNNNNNNNNNNNNNNNNNNNNNNCUUCCGUCUGUCUUCAUCAUAUUAAGUCCUAUUAUUGGUGAGCGAUCUCCUCUACACGUUAUCUUUGGGCGUUUUACUCUCUUUCAAAGAGAUAACUAUUGAAACCUCAGAGUAUUCGGAUGCACGUGCUUUGUUAAAAUGCCAUCUCCUGCACAAGUAAGGUCCGGAGCAGGAGCAUUAGGGUAGGCGAUGGCCGCUGCAUGGUGGAAUAUAGCAAGUUGCCGGAAACCGGCACCACCUACCCGAGCAAGAGUUGUGCUCUUCCUGAGCAGCUUGCGUGCGCUGUUGGCGGAGCUACUUCUUCUUACUGGAUGCCCGGUGCCCACCAAAGCACAGACUCUACUCACCCACUACUGGACACGUGCGCUGUUCGUGGAGCUACUUCUUCUUAGUGGAUGCCCUGUUCCCACCAAAGCACAAACUCUACUCACCCACUACUGGACUAGUCUAUGGGCUGGUGAGACUAUUACACUAAAGAUUGAUGGACUUACAAAUUUGCUGACUGAUUUAGUAACUGAUGCGGAGAAGGGUAGUGAUAUUGAUCCACAAGAAGCUCAGCAAACUCUUGAACUAGAGGAAGCUAAUGUGAAAAAGGUUGAAGGAAGGAGACAAAAAUUGAGGCAAAUCUAGCUCUCCGACGAGCUAGAACACGGGUGGAGGCUAUCAAUCAUCUUUUUGGAUCGAAUGGGCUUUUGUGAUAAAUGGAGGAAUUUGAUACAUGGAUGUUUAUGUAAUGAAGCCUUUGGAGUGCUUGUGGAUGGUGUGCUACAUGGGUACUUUCCAGCUUCUCGAGGGUUGCGACAAGGGUUCCAAACCUAGCAUGUUGAUUUUAGCUGAAGAAGUGCUAAGCCGGGACUUGGUAUCAUUGAAAAUGAUAACAUCUUACCAUGCUUCGAGAUCGUGCCCAGCACUCUCCUACUUUCUCUUUGAUAACGAUGUUCUAAUAUUAUAUAAUAGCCAUAAACGGAAUCUUAAGAUUUCGAGAUCGUACCCAGCACUCUCCUACUUUCUCUUUGAAACGAUGUUCUAAUAUUAUAUAAUAGCCAUAAACGGAAUCAUAAGAAGCAGAAAAUCUUUCUGGAAAGAAGUAAAAAGCUGAUUGUAAUGUUGUAAUGGCCAAAAGGUCAAUUUCGAUAAGAGCCAGUGCUUCCUCUCGAACAGAGCUCCUCGCAGAAAUUCCACAUUAUUGAAGAGGAAUCAAAAUGAAAUGGUAGUUUUCCUAUCAAGUACCUGGAUGUUUUCUUGUCCCUCAAGAGAAUAAAGAGAGAACCAAAAAAAUGGUAGUUUUCCUAUCAAGUACCAGGAUGUCCUCUCGAUCGGAUCUACUCAAUCAAGGAUCUUGAAGGCCAGUGAAAUGCUUCCCUUCCUUUAUGCCAUGUCAAAGCCUAAUAAGCCAAAGCUUCAUGCUUCUUUAAAGGCAGAGUUUCAUUGAACAGCUGAUCUUGGACUUGCAAGUUCUCUCGAGGGAAUCACUUUUAGGUUUGUUUAGCAAGCAGUCUAAUUUCUUGAAAGCACACACAACACACAGUAGGAGAGUUCAAGUGUGAAUGCAGCGUACUCAUGGCCCUGAGAUAAGGUAUGCUUUUAGUGGCUUAUUUAACUAUAAGAGCAGGAGCAGCAAGCACUUACUUUAUUUAAGGAAUUUGAUCGAUCGAUUUAGGAAAGAUGAAAAAACAAAGGAUCCCUCUUUCUCCAGACCUUGGAUUCAAUCCACAUCCCUUGCUAAAAGCAUAAGAAGAGUCUGAUAAUGGCCGGUCUUUAAAGUCCCUUAAGAAAGAGGCUUAAGUCAUCGAUGGAAAUACGAUAACGCUUUUCUUUUUGCUCCGCGAGCAAGGAGCGAGCUAAGUAAAUCUUACCUAAAAAUGAGUGAGAUUUGAUUAUUUUUCCUUUGUAGUUUUUGUUUUGUCAUUUUUUUCAUUGAAGUCAGGGUGUGGGACUGAGCCUUCCAAAUGAGAAAGAAGAAAAGUGCUUCGCUUUCCCUUCCAUUCUUAUGGUAACUAGGCCUGAUAGCAUCUUUGCUAGUCUUGUCGGACUAGGAGCUCUACUAGGCUUGACCGUGGGAAAUUGCUUGAUUUAUGAAAGAAAGAAUGACGUAGGUAGAUAGAAGUAGUAGGAGUUCCCGUCGAAGGGCAAAUGAUUCAUUUAGAAAAGAUCCGAUACGCAACUUCCUCGAAUAUCAACGCAGGGAGCCGUGAGGAGAGGACUUCUAGGGCUUGAUCUACGUGAACAUGAAAAUGUGACUAAAUUGGUCCUAGUUACUCUUCGGGGUGGAGUGGAAGAAGGGGGGGAUUCUCGAAUGCGAAAAGGAUCCAAUCCAUUUGAAGGGGGAGCAGAGCAGCAGGCAGGCAAAGCAGGGGAAGAGAUAUGGAUUGCACCGAAAGCAAUGCCCUUCGCACCUAAGUGCCACAGGCUUCAUAUGCAAGAGUUAGGAUAGAGCUUUCACUAAUAUAAGGGGGUCGCUUUGAUUGAAAAGUUUCUGAUUCAAUUGUAGUGCAUUCUCGAACAGUAAGAGCUGAAUCGGAAUAUCCCUCUUCUCUUUCCUUUCAUGCCCUUUUACUUUUAGAAUCAGCUUUUCCUGAAGUGAAGAAGGAGAUGUGGCACUCUGCAUCGUAUCAUCCAUAGAUAGCAAGGGAACUAGCCAUUUCUUAUCUUCAAUAGGAAAAGAAGGAACUGGCAUCGUGCCUUAAGGCUUUAUUGGCUAACCCGAGCAAAGCACCCUAUAGCAUUUAGGACAUCCCGAGGGGGAAUCAAGUGAGAUGUCACUUAUUAAAGCAAAAUCUGCUAAAGCCCUAGAUGCCAAGAUCCACAGGCACUCCUAAGGCUUGGUGAGCUAGGUUUAGUGACUGGGGCGGACUUCUAUUCUAUAUGUUCACUUAUUAAAGAAAAAACUGCUAAAGCCCUAGAUGCCAAGAUCCACAGGCACUCCUAAGGCUUGGUGAGCUAGGGUAACCAAGCCUAAGCGGUCACGACAUCUCAUUGAUAUUGAUUGAGGAGUUUGACGGAGUUUAGCUGACUGAAUCCAUCCAUCAACUUAGAUCGCGGUAACCUUCGUAACCAAAGCGUCACGACAACAUCCAAAGGUGACCUUUGGAUUCUUAAGUAGGGGGCAAGGAAGAGCUGGUAUUUUUUACACCUUCAACGUGAGUGAGUAGUAUAAUCUCUUCUCAGGUUGUCACGUUUAUUAUAUUGAAGCCAACUAGGAAUUUUGUCGCCGGAAUGAUGCUCCCAGUUUAUUUCACUUGCUCUAAAAAGACUAGUGGCAGAGAGAAAGCGAGCAGCAACUUGUAUAGGUUGGGCGGAGCUUAAAGAAGCAAGCCCCUAUCAGAGAAAGCCAUUGCACGCUAGCCUAGCUAGCUAACGUUUUUUAGCUGGCUGUUAUGUAGUUGUAGCGCGCCUUCCCCCCUUCUCUCACUUUGGAAAGAUUUUUCUGUAUUUUCUUAUGAUGACCUGGUCGAGAGAGUACGAUACAUCAGUGUAAAAGAUUUCCUUUUUUUGUGAGCUUGGUUUACUUGACCGAAGGGUGCAGUAGAACCUGAAGGAGAGGAAUAAAUACCUGGUCUAUAAUUUUGACAAAAGGAGGACCGCUAUUGGGAAAUAUCUUCCUCCUCUUGGUCGUCAUCAAAGAAGUUGACGUCCGGGGCUUCCUCUUUCCCUUUAAAAUAAAACCGCUGAAGUCCAUCCUAAAGUUAAAAAUCUACAUUCAACACCAGAGGUUCCUGAUAAGAACAAAUUGUAAGGCGUUGAAAGAAACCCUUAAGAAAGAUGUCCCUCGCUGCAAAACAUAUUUUUGCUAGAUGGAAAGCCCCUCUUGACUUUGAUAUAUAACACAUAAAGUGGGAGAGUCACAAUCUCCCUAUUUCCUAGCAACAAAAUUCCUUUUUUGAAAAGCUAGUAACAAUGCGAUAUUCCAUAUAUAAGCAAAAAACCGAAGGCUCCUAAUCAGGUGCCUUUUUUCUAAAAUGGAACCUUCUUGAACCCUGUCCAAACGAAGGGUUUCCUCUAUCUUAAGCUCAGUUCGUAAUUGGGUCUCAAUUAUUGCCUCAGAAACAUCUUCGGGCAAGGGACGCUUAAUAGUAUUUAUGCUAAGACGAUCAUUGAGCUCCCGACGCCUCUGUCCGUCCUCCUGUAACGGAUGAUAAACCUUAGCAACAGGCACUGCGGGUUCUCCAGGUUUGGGAGAGUCCGGGGCCGGUUGGUUGAGACUGGCUUCAGAAUUACCAGGGGAACUGCUUCCAAAUAAAUCAGUCCACCUGAAGCCCUUUCCUCCAGCACUCUCACCUGAUCCAGAGCCAGAGGCCCCCGAAGGAGCCAUCAUCAUCAUGCAAAGCCAACACAAGAGAAAAGAAAUAUGUUCACCCUCAGCAAUACGCACUUGAUAAUACCCCAAACAGGUUGUUCCAGCUCGAUACCGUCAAGAAUUUUUGACUAUUGAAUGAGAUCGAGAGGCGAUGCUUAUGCCUCUUCUUUAUCGAUAGGAUUUCCAUCAUUUUCAGUUUACGGCGAAGGAGACAAGGGCGAGGCACCGAACAUGUUCUACCCUCAACCUCCAUCCGUCAUUAGUAAUCUCAAUUCGCUUUUCCUAUUCACUAGUACACUGCGCGCUACAACUAGCAGCCCCUUUACUAGGUUGGGAAAAGGCUAGCGCGCUAGCGCGCAACGGCUGAUGAAAAGCCAGCAACUUGUUAGGAGUCAGUUUUGGCUUGCCCCUUUCCUCUUAUUAGUCAGAUAGGUUUUCCAACAACUUGUUAGGAGUCAGUUUUGGCUUACAUCCUGAGGUUGAAGAAGGUCCCAAGGGUUCGGUUGUUCGCCGAUUCAAGUGGUACGUGAGUUGGGUUUAGAACGUCGUGAUGAGACAUUUCGGUUCCUAUCUACCAUUAGUUUUAAAGGGAGAACUGCGAGGAGCCAAACCUUGUACGAGAGGACUCGGUUGGCCUUGUCUUAGGCCAUGGCCUUGUCUGGGGGCACUAGCACGAGCAAAAAUGGAUGAAAAGUCUACUGUUUGAAAUAGAGUAAAACAACCCAAAAUCCCAUGAGCUAAUCCAAAAUCACCUACUCGAUUGACAAGCAUAGCUUUUAUAGCUGCUUUAUCUUCCUGAAGUCGUGUAAACCAGAAAUGAAUUAACAAAUAUGAAGCAACACCUACUCCCUCCCAUCCCAGGAAUAAUUGAAGAGAGUUAUCUCCAGUCACCAACAUUGGCAUAAAAAAAGUAGGAAUGGAUAAAUAACACAUAAAUCGAGGGCUAUGCGGAUCCUCAGACAUAUAUGAAAUGGAAUAAAGAUGGACCAAGCUACUUAUGAAUGUAACCACAAUUAACAUCACUACGGUCGGGCUAUUAUAAAUCGAGGGCUAUGCGGAUCCUCAAACAUAUAUGAAAUGGAAUAAAGAUGGACCAAACUACUUAUGGAUCUAACCACAAUUAACAUCACUGCGGUCGGGCUAUCGAACACGGGGUCAGAAGAUCCGACUUGAAUGAUCGAAUCAAUUCUUUCACUUUGUCGAACUCGAAAUGGAGGCUCUCUUUAACAAGAGGAGAAGAUAAGGUCUUUUGGCAAUAGAAGGCAUAUUACUAAUUGAUUCUUUGGCCAUUUUGUGUUAGAAUUCGAAACCGGCUAGCGCUGCUGGAUGCUUCUGAUCAAUAGAACACGAAGAAGAGGAUAAAAAAAGCUUAUGAUGAGCUUUAGAAAAAAAAGCUUAUGAUGAGCCCCAUCACAGAGAUGCACAGAGGAAGAGAACAAACGUCAGCUUUGUUUUUCUCUCUUUUGAAAGUUGGGAGUUUAUCAUGGACUGCUCUCCAGGUAAGAAAUGCCAUUUUAAAAGGCACAUCCCUAUGCCAUAUCUUUGAAUCUAAAAAGGACACCUCUUUUUUCUGUCUAAGCAUAUUCCAGGCUGAAGCAAGAGAGAAUUUACCUGAUGCAGUUGGAGACCAAAUUGCCAAAUCAUCUUCAUCUGGACUGAGUGUAAGCUGCAUAGAGGAGAUGAUGUUCUUCACAAAGUCUGGAGGUUGAGUGUGCAGACAAUCCCAGUGCCAUUGAUUGUCCUUAAACACUUCGCAUAGAGGAGAUGAUGUUCUUAAAAAAGUCUGGAGGUUGAGUGUGCAGACAAUUCCAGUGCUAUUGAUUGUCCUUAAACACUUCAUUGACCCUGAUCUUGUCUUGCCUGGAAUCAUCUGAUAAAAAGCUGUGCAAGGGGCUCAACCCGCCUCUGGAUGAUAAGCCAGAGUGAGAGCCGACAAUAAGCUAAUGGAUGCCAUCUCUGUUGAAUAAUUAAUUCCCCCUUUCAAUUCACGGAAAGCACGGUCGAAAAGACAUAAAGAAAUUGGUGAGCGCUUGCAAUCGUUCGAACAUAUUAUCGAUGUUUUCAUCUUCCCUCAUUCUGAAAAGUUCAUAUUCAUGUNNNNNNNNNNNNNNNNNNNNNNNNNNNNNNNNNNNNNNNNNNNNNNNNNNNNNNNNNNNNNNNNNNNNNNNNNNNNNNNNNNNNNNNNNNNNNNNNNNNNNNNNNNNNNNNNNNNNNNNNNNNNNNNNNNNNNNNNNNNNNNNNNNNNNNNNNNNNNNNNNNNNNNNNNNNNNNNNNNNNNNNNNNNNNNNNNNNNNNNNNNNNNNNNNNNNNNNNNNNNNNNNNNNNNNNNNNNNNNNNNNNNNNNNNNNNNNNNNNNNNNNNNNNNNNNNNNNNNNNNNNNNNNNNNNNNNNNNNNNNNNNNNNNNNNNNNNNNNNNNNNNNNNNNNNNNNNNNNNNNNNNNNNNNNNNNNNNNNNNNNNNNNNNNNNNNNNNNNNNNNNNNNNNNNNNNNNNNNNNNNNNNNNNNNNNNNNNNNNNNNNNNNNNNNNNNNNGAUUCCAGAUGGUGGACGCCGCUACUGGGCAUGUAAGAACAAGAUUGAUGAGCAACCCGACAAGCCUACAUGUGAAUUUGAGGUAUGAAUGGAUGAAAAGUGUACACAAAAGUACAACAAAGGCAAAAUUUAUGAUCUUCAUGUUAUAUGUUUGAGGCAACAUGAGCAGGAGCGCCAAACCAACCAAUAACUUAAGGAGUUGAAGGCAAAACUAAUUGAGGUAGAAGAAGAGAAAAAAGGCUAGAAGACCAACUCGAGUGGUUGGAGCGAAUUGUAGGAAGCAGAUCGUGAUUAAGCAGUGGCUUGUACGCCAUAAGCGUAGUGGUUUAUCUUUAUGUUUCCCUUGUGUAGUGUUUUUAUUAGUUUUACUAUUUGUAUCUCUAGAUUUGUCGUGUUUGAGUUUGUGUUAACCCAUUUAAAUAAAAAUGUUGUUCAAAUUUUGUUACAAAAAAUAUGUUGUUAAAAUAAAAUUGUUGUUUUAUUUACAUAAUGUAUUAUUUUCUUCAUAGAAUUGUUCAAAUAUUCAACUUAUUAUUGUUACUAAAGAACACCCAUCUUAAAAUUUUAAAGAAAAAUGUAUAUGUAAAUCGCGGUAUAGUACUACGUAUCGUUGAGUUUUCAUGUCGUUUUGAAAAAGGAUGAAAACCAUGUGACAAAGGCUAUUUUUUUCAGAAUAAUUUAAUAUGUAAUCGCGGACAAUAUUACGAUCAUUGAUUUGUCAUGUCGUUCUAAAAAGGAAGAAAACCAUGUGACAAAAGCUGUUUUUUUCAAAAUAAUUUAAUACGUAAAUCCCGGUACAAUACUACGUAUCGUUGAGUUGUCAUGUCAUUCUGAAAAGGAUGAAAACUACGUGACAAAAGCUAUUUUUUUCAAAAUAAUUUAAUAUGUAAAUUGUAGUAUAAUGCUUCGUAUCGUUGAGUUGUCACGUCAUUCUAAAAAGGAUGAAAACCAUGUGGCAAAAGCUAGUUUUUUCAAAAUAGUUUAAUAUGUAAAUCGCGGUAUAAUACUAUGUAUCAUUGAGUUGUCAUGUCGUUCUGAAAAGGAUAAAAACCAUGUGACAAAAACUAUUUUUUAGAAUAAUUUAAUAUGUAAAUCACGGUAUAAUACUACGUAUCAUUGAGUUGUCAUGUCGUUCUCAAAAGGUUGAAAACCGUAUGAGAAAAGCUGGUUUUUUUCAGAAACAUUUAAUAUGUAAAUCGCGGUUUAAUACUACGUAUCGUUGAGUUGUCAUGUCGUUCUGAAAGGGAUGAAAACCAUGUGAGAAAAGCUGGUUUUUUCAGAAUAAUUUAAUAUGUAAAUCGCAGAAAUUGUAUUUGUAAAUCGCAGUAUAAUACUACGUAUCGUUGAGUUGUCAUGUCGUUUUGCAAAGGCUGAAAACCAUGUGAAAAAAUUUGUUAUUUUUUCAAAAAAAAAUAUUGCAACUUCUUGCCUAUAAAUAAAGAGCGUAUUCUAGUUAUUCUCUGCACUUAACAACAACCUAUAAUCGACCUUUUUCAUAAACCCAAACUACUCUUUAAGAAAUGUCUCAAUGACCCAUUCGUUCCCGAAAGUGCAACUGUGGAAUCAAAAGUAUGAUGUACGAUGAUUGAGAAAAAGCUGGGCGCUGCUAUUGGGGUCGUAUGAACAAGUUUUAUAGGCAACCCGACGUACCUAUAUGCAAUUUUAAGGUAUGGGUUGACAAACCAUGUGAAUAAGAAUACUACAAAGACAAGUUGUAUUAUCUUCAUGAUAUGUGUACGAGGCAGUGAGACAGAGAGCGCCAAUCGAAGCAACAAAUUGAAGAGUGAAGGCAAAGUUCAAGGAGGUGGAAGAAGAGAAAAAAAAUUGGUAAAAAGGCUCGAGAGGAUGAAGCAGAGAAUACUAGCAGGUAGUAACUAAGCAAUGGCAUUUACGUGUUGAGUGUUUAUGAUUAUCUUCAUGUUUCCUUUUGUGAAAUGAUUUCAUUAGUUCUACUGUUUGUUUUUGUGCUAGGUAUAUAAGGUUUGUGUUUGAGUUGUACUUUUAAGUUUUGUUGUUCAAACGAAGUUAAAAUAAAAUUGUUAUUAAAACAUAAUUGUUAGCAUUAUUUACAUAAAGCACUAUUUACACAAAGCCAAUACAUAAGUAGAUCAGUGAGUGUCACCGUCUGUGUGCUUUAGUGAUGUUGCUGGCGUAAGUCGCAUCCCCUGUCGCCCGGGCACACCAUCAUCAUCAAGGCCUCUUUAUAUAAGGAUGUGCAGCAGCAUCAACACUACAAAUGGUAGGAUCGGAAAAAUAGGGCGUCAGGCCGUCAGCAACCUACAAUACAAGAAGUAAUCUUAGCAUUUGAAAAUGUAUUAUUUUGAUUUUUGUGUUUAAGCAAAAAAAUAUUUUCUCACCGUGGUCUCGUCAUAUGCAUCACUGCAUGUAGUGUCCUCAAACAUGGGCUGGGACGAAGACUACAUAACACCAAUAAAAUUAGUUAAUUGCGGCUCAUUAAUGAAAAGAAUUUAAAUUGAAAUAUUAAAGUAAUACAAAUAUACCGCCGCAUGUGGUAGAUCCACAUAAACCGCGGGGGAUGAGGGAUAACUCAACCUGCGCUCGCCAUCCACAUCCCAGGUCGGCCGAUCCUCAGCUGCAGUAGAUGGGCAUGCGAAGUAUUGAUCUACAUCCCCGUUGAAUGUACCCAAUAUAGAAAAUGCUCCUGACGGGGUGACCUGCGAUGAUGGCAAAUAUAGCUGAAGGCUAUACGAAGGCAUGCUGCUGGAAGGCUCACCCUGCUGACCAUCUCCAAGCGCCUGAAAUCCAAAGUCCUCAUCAUUUCCCUCAGCAGGUGCGUCUAUAGGUACCUCAACGCCCCUUUGCUGGGCACCAACUCCUCGCCGUCCCCCGCGACCCUGUGGGGAACCUCUGCCUCGUGGGGCACCCCUCCCUCGUGCCCUACCCUUGCCUCUGUGGGUCUAUAGGUACCUCAAUGCCCCCUUGCUGGGCACCACCUCCUCGCCGUCCCCUGCAACCCCAUGGGAACCUCUACCUCGUGGGGCACCCCUCCCUUAUGCCCUACCCGUGCCUCGUGGUACUGCCCUACCCCGAUGGUAGGCCUUUGGUGCCGCAUACUGAGCCUCGUAGUCCAAUCUCUUGGCAUCUCUCGCCUGCAAUAAUGUCAGACGAGCCAUCUCCGCCACCUGCCAACCAUAGUCAACCACUUCAGGGAUGUCAGCACGCUGCUGCAUCUCCUGUCCCAACUGGUAGAGCCGAUGAUGCCCAAUAGCUUGUAAAAUAUUAAAAUAUUAAUUAACUAACGCUAUAUCACAAAUAUAACAUAUUAAUAAGCCACAAGAACAUACCAGUGCCUCGUCCCUCCCGGCGUACGGUCUAUAGCGGUCGCCAAGUACAUGAAUGGAGUUCCCCACCAUCAGCGGGGUAUGACGGUGGUACCACUCACCAUACAGAUAAAUCAUGGCCUCCUACAUAAAUGAAGGAGGUAGCGGGAUACGCUCAACUCGCUCCUCCAAUAAAUUAUCUAUUGAUGUAGCCAUCUGAUAUACUGCUAGUCCAUGCUGGCACGGUCGUCCCGCUGAUAGUGUAUAGCAUCCCAUCCAGGCUCCCUUGGUAUAGGCUAUGGACGGUAAAACUGCCGAAGCACAGGCUCUGUGGCAUGAUACUCAACGUGAUCGAAAAAUAUCAUCGGGACAGAGGUUCUCCAUAGCAGCCGGUCGACUGAGCAACAAGCAGGCAGCUGAGCCAGGAACUCGAUGUUGUACGGCGUCCAGAUGAACUACCAAAAAAACAUAAAAGUGAGUACGCGCAACACAACUCAAUUUAAAAUAAGCAAGUGUAGGUAGAUAUUUACUUGUCCGUCCACCAACAUAUCUAAAACACCCCUGAGAAGGGGGAGAUUAUGAUGUGCAUCGGUCCCUCGGUAGUUCCCACGCCGGAGAAUCCUGACAGCUAGAGGGAGAAGCGGAUAAUCCUCACCGGGCAGAAGUGGUGUAGAGGUGGCUGCAACGGCAUGAUCUGCCAGGCCCAAACCUAAGAUAAAAGGUUGAUGUAAAUUUUAUGAGUCAUUUCACGGUAUAGUUCCCACGCCAGAGAAUCCACUUGACAGUUAGAGGGAGAAACGGAUAAUCCUCACUGGGCAGAAGUGGUGGUAGAGGUGGCUGCAAUGUCAUGAUCCGCUGUCAGGACCAAACCUAAGAUAAAAGGUUGAUGUAAAAUGUAUGAUUCAUUUCACGAUAUAGAAUUCGGAGUAAAGAACAAAAUAUUCCGAAAUUUUGUCACCUGUAGGAGGGGCAGAAAAUCACAUAUAUCCACCGCUGGACCUAUGCUCGCCCGGCACAUGCUCCUAUACAAGUAUGCCAGAACAAUAGCACCCCAGUUGUACUGGGGUACCUCAUCCAGCUGCUGAAGAUAAUGGAGAAAGCGCAUACUCAUUUUACUCCCCAAAGUGUCCGGGAACAAGAAACACACAAAAAGCAGGAGUAACGCCACCCGCGUGUACCUAUCAAUCCAAAGAUCGUCCGUCUCUCCAGUAAUGCCUGGGUGCAAAAACACCAUCUCAUCUCUAAAUGGCUGACAAUGCAAUACGACUGUCCCCAGCACCACCCUUUGGCCUAAAACUAGUAAACUCCCCCAUCAUAUCCAAAAACUGGGCACGCAUCAUGCUUCUAAUGUAGUGGGGCAGUGCCACGGCGCGUCCAUCUACGCACAGCCCGUAUAAAACCUGAACAUCCUCCAGUGUGAUGGUGGCCUCUCCAGUAGGCAAGUGAAAAGUAUGUGUCUCCAGUCGCCACCGCUCUAUUAAGGCCGUGAUGAGAGACCAAUCAAGUUGCACCUGUCCAAGCUCAAAAAACGUAUAUAACCCCGUAGCCUGGAGGAGCGCUACUAUGCGAUCAUGGAAAGGAUGCGCCGCGAUAAACUCCCACAAAUCGUCAGGUCUCCUGGGCGGAGAGCAUGCAUCGACAGCUGUCCCUCUCAUACAAAGGAAGACCUAUAGUCACCCUGCAGCACAAAUAGCUGAUCCUCGAGAGGUCCAGGAUGCGCAGGCGGAGGAAAGGCCAUGUCGUCUACAAUAAUUUAAACAAAAUUAAUUGUUUGUGUUUGUUUAAUAAAUUAAAUAAUUAAUUAUGUUUAAUUAAUUAUUCCAUGCUUGAUUUUUGAGGCCUGGUAGCACCGAGUUAUCCUUAAUUAUUAGGCGUGUCAAUUUCAAUAAUUUUUAGAAUUUUUUUACCUUAAAAUAUUAAAUUAUAAAUUUUUGAAUUGGAGUAAAUUUUUGAGGCCCGGUAGCACCGAGUUAUCCUUAAUUAUUAUGCAUCUCAAUUUUAAUAUUUUUAAAAUUUUGAAAAUUAUAAAUUUUUGAAUUGGAGUGAAUUUUUGAGGCCCGGUAGCACCGAGUUAUCCUUAAUUAUUAUGCGUCAAGAUUUCAAUAAUUUUUAGAAUUUUGUAACCAUAAAAAAUUAAAUUAUAAAUUUUUGAAUUGGAGUGAAUUUUUGAGGCCCGAUAGCACCGAGUUAUCCAUAUUAUUAUGUGUUUCGAUUUCAACAAUUAAAAUUUUGUAACCUUGAAGAAUUAAAUUAUAAAUUUGUGGAUUGGAGUGAAUAAUUAUGUAUGGGUUCCAGGCUUGAUUUCUGCGGCCUGGUAGCUCCGAGUUAUCCGUCAUUAUUAUGCGUCUCGAUUUCAACAAUUUUUAGAAUUUUGUUACCUUAAAGAGUUAAAUUAUAAAUUUAUGAAUUGGAGUGAAUAAUUAUGUAUGGGUUCCAGGCUUGAUUUUUUGGGGCCUGGUAGCACCGAGUUAUCCUUAAUUAUUAUGUGUCUCGAUUUCAAUACUUUUUAUAAUUUUGUUACCUUAAAGAAUUAAAUUAUAAAUUUUUGAAUUGGAGUGAAUAAUUAUGUAUAGGUUCCAGGCUUGAUUUUUGGGACCCGGUAGCCUGAGUCAUCCUUAAUUAUUAUGCGUGUCGAUUUCAAUAAUUUUUAUAAUUUUGUUACCUUAACGAAUUAAAUUAUAAAUUUGUGAAUUAGCGUGAAUAAGUAUGUAUGGGUUCCAUGCUUGAUUUUUGGGGCUCGGUAGCACCGAGUAUCCUUAAUUAUUACGCGUGUCGAUUUCAAAAAUUUUUAGAAUUUUGUAACCUUAAAUAGUUAAAUUAUAAAUUUUUGAAUUGGAGUGAAUAAUUAUGUAUGGGUUCCAGGCUUGAUUUUUGGUGCCUGGUAACACCGAGUUAUCCUUAUUUAUUACGCGUGUCGAUUUCAAUAAUCUUUAGAAUUUUGUAACCUUAAAUAGUUAAAUUAUAAAUUUUUGAAUUGGAGUGAAUAAUUAUGUAUGGGUUCCAGGCUUGAUUUUUGGUGCCUGGUAACACCGAGUUAUCCUUAUUUAUUACGCGUGUCGAUUUCAAUAAUCUUUAGAAUUUUGUAACCUUAAAUAGUUAAAUUAUAAAUUUUUGAAUUGGAGUGAAUAAUUAUGUAUGGGUUCCAGGCUUGAUUUUUGGUGCCUGGUAACACCGAGUUAUCCUUAUUUAUUAUGCAUCUCGAUUUCAAUAAUUUUUAAAAAAAUUUUACCUUAAAGAAUUAAAUUAUAAAUUUUUGAAUUUGAGUGAAUAAUUAUGUAUGGGUUUCUGGCUUUAUUUUUGGGGUCCGGUAGCACCGAGUUAUCCUCAUGCAUCUUGAUUUCAACAAUUUUUAGAAUUUUUUUACCUUAAAGAACUAAAAAUAAAUUUUGAAUUGGAGAGAAUAAUUACGUAUGGGAUUCAGGCUUUAUUUUUUGGGCCCGAUAGCAUCGAGUUAUCGUUAAUUAUUAUGCGUCUCGAUUUUUAUAAUUUUUAUAAUUUUUUUACCUUAAAGAAUUAAAUCAUAAUUUUUGAAUUAUAGUGAAUUUAUUAGGCCCGGUAGCAGUGAGUUAUCCUUAAUUAUUACGCGUCUCAAUUUCAAUAUUUUUAGAAUUUUGUUGGCUUAAAGAAUUAAAUUAUAAAUUUUUGAAUUACAGUGAAUUUUAAGGCGCGGUAGCACCGAGUUAUCCUUAAUUAUUGUGCGUCUCAAUUUCAAAAAAAUUUAGAAUUUUGUUAGCUACUAAGCAUCUAAGCUAAAAGGUUCUAGAUUUUAAUACGCUAAAAGGCUCUAUAUUUUACUACGCUAAAAGGCUCUAUAUUUUACUACGCGAAAAUGCACUACAUACAAAUUUAUCAACAAUAAUAUAAACAUAACAUUAACAAUACAAAUAAAAUAAAUAAAUAAUACAAAUUAUUUGUUAAAUUUGAAUUAUUUUUGGUCUCAAAGAUAAUAAAUCAAUUCGGGUAUAUAAAAGAUUCAAAUUAAACACAAAUAUAAACAUAAAUUCACAUGGAGACACACUAAGCAAUACAAAAUUUUGAAUUGAAGUGAAUAAUUAUGUAUGGGUUCUAGGCUUGAUUUUUUGGGCCCGGUAGCAUCGUGUUAUCCUUAAUUAUUAUGCGUCUCGAUUUCAACAAUUUUUAAAAUUUUGUUAUCUUAAAGAAUUAAAUUAUAAAUUUGUGGAGUGAAUAAUUAUGUAUGGGUUCUAGGCUUGAUUUUUGGGGCUCGGUAACACCGAGUUAUCCUUAAUUAUUAUGCGUGUCAAUUUCAACAAUUAUUAGAAUUUUGUAACCUUAAAGAAUUCAAUUAUAAAUUUUUGAAUUGGAGUGAAUAAUUAUGUAUGGGUUCCAGGCUUGAUUUUUGGGGCCAAAUAGCACCGAGUUAUCCUUAAUUAUUAUGCGUCUCGAUUUCAAUAAUUUUUAGAAUUUUUUUACCUUAAAGAAUUAUGUUAUAAAUUUUAAAUUGGAGUGAAUAAUUAUGUAUGGGUUCCUGACUUGCUUUUAGGGUCCCAGUAGCACCGAGUUAUCCUUAAUUAUUAUGCGUUGCGAUUUCAAUAAUUUUUAAAAUUUUGUCACCUUAAAGAAAUAAAUCAUAAAAUUUUGAAUAAGAGUGAAUAAUUAUGUAUGGGUUCCAGGCUUGAUUUUUGGGGCCUGGAAGCACCGAGUUAUCCUUAAUUAUUAUGCGUCUCAAUUUUAACAAUUUUUAUAAUUUUGUUACCUUAAAGAAUUAAAUUAUUAUUUUUUGAAUUAAAGUGAAUUUAUUAGGCCCGGUAGCACCGAGUUAUCCUUAAUUAUUAUGCAUCUCAAUUUCAGCAUUUUUAGAAUUUUUGUUAGCUACCAAAACUCUACGCUAAAAGGCUAUAUAUUUUACCACGCUAAAAGACUCUAUAUUUUAUUACGAUAAAAGGCUCUAUAUUUUACUACACUAAAAGGCACUAUAUUUUACAACGCUAAAAGGCUCUACAUACAAAUUUAUCAACAAUAAUAUGAACAUAACAUUAACAAUACAAAUAAAAUAAAUAAAUAAUACAAAUUCACAAAAGUUAAUAAAUCAAUCAGGGUAUAUAAAAGAUACAAAAUUAAACAAAAAUAUAACAUAAAUUCACAUGAAAACACACUAAACAAUACAAAUAUGCAUGUACUAUACGGGUUUUGCCAUAAUUUAAACUGAAAUAUCUCGAUUUAAGGUUUUUGACUAUUAUUAAAAUUGAAUUUUUUUACAAGGUGUGACAGAAUCCAAAGCUUCUUUUAUUGUGGGACCUUCACACCUUGCUUUUUAGAUGACGGGUGGGGCCGAAUUUUUUUUUAAAGCGACGGGGUUGGGGGACCAGAUUGUUGGAAUUUUUUAAUGGUGAAUGGUGAAUUUUCUGUCGAUCCAAGGAAGAAGAAGAGUGUUAUUUUUUUAAUGUAGUUCGCAUUAUAAUACUACUAAUAUUAUACUGCAAACUACAUUAAAAAAAAAUUAAUAGUUCGCAGUAUCGAAUUGCGAUUUAUGUGAAAAAUAUUUUUUUAAUUAGUUUGCAGUAUUAAACUCCGAAUUACAUUAACGGAAAAAUUUCCCUUAAAGUAAUUCACAUUACAGUACUACGAAAUACUUAUUUUUGUAACCUUUUUUUAAACAUUAAAAAUACUUUAUGUCUAAUUAUUUAUUAAUAUAUUCGGACUCCUCUCCUCUUCCUACUCUUUUUUCCCUCGGCCAUCAUUCUCUGGAGGUGCCAUCUGCAAACGGAAGCCACUGAAAAUGAGACAGAGAUGGUCUUCUUAACGCUAACCCUAGAAACCUCUUUCCCAAAUUUUAUAACGUUGAGACUUUUAAUUAGAGUAUUCAUAAAAAAUCCGAAAACUUCAAGCAAACUGAAAGCUAAAUUAUACCGACUUAAAAAGUAGAUAUUUAUUUAUGUGGUUUGGUUUUUGUUUUGAAAUUUGAAAACCGAUCAAAUUUGAUUUAGUUUUGGUCUUAAUUAGAAAAAUGAACCAAAUCGAAUAUAAGAGUAGCUAUUUUAAAUUUAUUAUUAUUACACACACACACACACACACACACACACACACACACACACAUAUAUAUAUAUAUAAAAAUUUUAUAGUAAAUAUUAAUCGUUUGCACUUUUAGUACAGUUCUUUACUUUUACAUUCUAAAUGGUAAUUUUCUUUUGUUAAGUGUAAGAAUCUAUAUCAUGUUAAAAAUAAUAUAUUUUUAAUUGAGUCAUUAAAUUAUUCAUCACUAUUUGAUUCAAUUAUCAUUAAUACAUCUUGGUAAAUAAUAGAUUUUCAAUUGAUUUGAUAGUGUUACAUUGAAGACGUGGACGCCGAAAUGUGUGUUUGGUAGUGUAUGUCUUGUAUUUAAGAAAAAACCGACAAAUAACCAAAAAAACUGAAAAACCGACAUAAAUCGCAUCGAGAAAAAAUCAACUUAAUUAGUUUUUCUUGGUUCAAAUAUUUUAAAAAUCAACUUACUUGAUUUGAUUUCUUCUUUUUUUUCGUCAAAAAAAAGUAUACUUACAAAGCAUAGAUGGUGACCAUCUAUUCUCGUAUGCUAUACACAGUCACUACCCUAUUAUCAUUCUAGGAUAAACAAAGCACACUAUGAUAAUACGUGUGAUACAACUAUCGUGAAGAAUGUCUAUCUCAUUUUAAAACUAGGGAAAAUGAUCUAAGCUAUGUAGGACAGCCCUCCACUUAUGCCUUGAAGCCUCAUUUUAAAACUAGGAAAAAUGAUCUAAGCUAUGUAGGACGGCCCUCCACUUAUGCCUUGAAGCCCCUCUGCCAUGGAGAUGGACUACGAUUUCAUUGCAUACAGUGUCGCUCAUCAACAUGCCUCCCUGGAAUCGCAAUUUAUCCUGCUCCCUCCAUAUCGUCGGCACCAGAAUUCCAAAUAGGCUAGCUGUAAUUUCUGCUAAACCAUUUCUACUCUUCGCCAGCUUGCUAGUCCACGUACACUCCUCCUGCCAGUCGGCAAUGGUAUGUUUAUGGCCCAACCAGUUGAGGAUUCGAUACCAAAGCUUUUUGGUUUUCAAACAUUCAAAGAACAGAUGCUCAAAUGUCUCUCGAUACAAACCACAGAAAAUGCAAUCUUGUGGAACCACAACAUUUAGCAUCUGGAGUCGAUCCACAGUUGCAAGUCGCUUAUGUAAAGCCAGCCAUAGUAUAAACUUAUACAUGGGAUGUAGUUGAAGCUGUAAUAUGAUUGAUUUCCACUGGACGACAUUUAACAUCUGGAGUCGAUCCAUAGUUGCAAGUCGCUUAUGUAAAGCCAUCCAUAGAAUAAACUUAUACCUGGGAUGUAGUUGAGGCUGUAAUAUGAUUGAUUUCCAAUGGACCUUGCUGCAUUGAGGAAGAAGGUGUCUGUAUAGAUUGUUAAUGCUGAAGGACUCUCCAUGUUGCACCUGCCUCAAUCUGUUUUCCAGAUUCCCACUAAGUGUUGCAAUACCAUUAAUCAGCCUCCUCGAUUCAAAAAAUUUCCUGAUUGCCCAGGCAGCAUCCCCAGGCACCAACAUGUCCUCAAAGCAGUGGUUCUUGAUAUAGAAAGUAUGAACCCACUUUAUCUAUAGACUAUCCUUCUUCUUAGUCAAUGCCCACAAAUGCUUGGCCACAGCAGCUUUGUUCCAUUUAGCUAGGUCUAAAACAUUCAGACUGCCUUCACUGUAAGGCAAGCACAUAGUGUCCCAUGCAAUCAGGGCCUUUCUUGAGACUGUGGCAGAACCAGUCCAUAGAUAGGAUCUGCAGAUGGCCUCUAUCAUCUUCAAAAAAUUUUGGGAAAUAAAAAAAUCUGGGACCAGUAGGCUUGAAUACCAAACAGAACAGAUUUUAUCAAUUGAAGCCGACCAGCAUAAGAUAGAAGCCUUGACGACUUUGGGCAAUAAAAAAAUCUGGGACCAAUAAACUUGAAUACCAAACAGAACAGAUUUUAUUAAUUGAAACCGACCAACAUAAAAUUUAAUUUCUUUUUAAGAAAAAAUUAAUCCAAACUAAACCAUAAAACCUCUUACUUCUAAUAUACUUUGCUGGCAACACAAUCUGAAAGGGGGAGGAGGGAAGGGGGCGGUUAAGUAGAAACAUGUCACAUAUUUGUUGCAUCGUUAUAGCAUAUUUAAAAUUUGUGAUUCUAUAACAAUGUAACAUGGCUAUAAAAGAUUUUUAUUAAAAAUAUAGUAAAAAGUUUAAUGUUAAAAUUAUUUUAGUUCUUAAAACAUAUCAUUCUUUUGGAACGCAUUAAGAAGGAAAUAUCCCUACAUAAUCACCUAAGGAUGUGGUCUCGUAGUCAAUAAAAUAGGCAAGAAUUAUGAGAUUUCGGGUUCAAAUUCUACCGGAAGUUAAAAAUACUAAAUAAUUUUUUCUCAUUUAUUCAUAAAGUGUAGCAGGUAUUUCCUAAAAUUAGUUGAAGUACGUGCAAGCUAGCCCAAACAUCACGAUUAUAAAAAAAAUAAAAAUAUGUUGCUACAUAAUUUGAAACUAUGAGAGUAUUUUUUUGCUUAUAGUUUAUUAUUAUAAAUGAGAGUGAUUUUUUCAUUAAAUUAUUUCUUUUAUUAUUAUAUACUAUUUGUUUUUAAUUAAAAAUAAGUAUUUUUUUUGUUUCAUCGAUAUAUAAAAGAAGUGUAAUUUUUCUAUAUAAUCCACCAAAAAACUAUUAAAUUUAACUAAAUUAACUCAAAUAGAUCGAAAUCGAACUGGCCCACUGUAUAGAGUAAUCGCCGAGUUGGAAGGAUAGAACAAAGGAAAGUCAAUCAAAGAUAGCCAACAGCAUUCGAUUUUUGGGUUCCCGAACUAGGUGUUUGAAUUAUCUAAUAAAAGAAGCCAAAUGUCAAUUCGUUUACAAAUUGGCCAUAUAUAACCUUUUUAACACCUGCACACUCUGCAAUUGACACUAUUACUAUUGGAACUAUUAUUAGUUUAAGAUAUUCCUAACUAGAAGAAUUAUGGUUGGAGUAUCUAUUUUACAAAUCACAGUUAGAAAUUAUUUAGUUUUCAGAAUUCUUGUGCAUUGGGUUAAGGAAAAUUGAGUUACUAAAAUUUCAGGUCAAGAGUGAAUCAAUUUAUUUAACGUUACAAAUAAACACCAUAAAUAUUUUUCCUGAUUUUCUCAACACGAUAAUAAAAAUAAACAACAGGAACAACCGUCAAUAGCGAACUAGUUGGAGGGUAAAAUAGGUAAUUGACUAUUGGAAAUUUGAAAAUUCUAGUUAAGUAAUUUUUUGAGUGUAAUGUACAUAGUUAAGUGACUUUUGAUUAACAAACAAAAGAAACAGAACUUUACUAGCCCGUUUGGCCAUAAAAAGAGAUUUCUUUUUUUUUGAAAUUUAUUUGUCCGUGAAAUUUUAUUUUCACUUGAAGAUGAAUUUCUAAAUUUUUCAAAAAUUUAAAAAAUCUCCAAAAAGUUAUUUUCUAAAAUUUUCACUUUAGAUCACUCACAAAGAUUCAAGAACAACUCAAAAUUAUAUUCAUGUCCAAACACAAUUCUAAUGUUGUGUUACCAUUUACACUUGGAUUUUCUUUCAUCUUUAUCCUAAAUUUUACAAUUUUAUGUCCAAACGCCAAUUAUGUUAAUUCGAAUAGUUGAGUGGUCAUUUAAAUAAUAGGUAUUUAGCUACCAAAAAUUUAGGAAAUAAGCAUAAGCUAAGUGACUAUUUAAUUACAAAUAAGUAAACAUGACUUUAAGGUAAUUUUCAUUAGUUGAGUGAUUUUUUGAAUUAUGAACUCGAGAUACAAGCAUACAUAAAUACUACUUCUUCUGAUUCACAAUAAAUGUCUAAUUUAUUUUUUUUUAUUUUGGUUCAAAAUAAGUGUCCAGUUAUACAAUCAAGAAAGAAUUCAAUUUGUUUUUACAAAAUAACCCCUAUGUACAUAUUCCUAAAAAAAACUUGUACUACUCACAUUAUAUGUUUUAGUAAAGGUAGUUUAAUUUUAAUAGAAAGGACUCAGACAAGGUGACCCCAUCUCUCCAUUUCUCUUUGCCAUUGUAAUGGAAUACCUAAGCAGAUCUUUGGCUGAAUUACAGAAAGACCAAGGCUUUAUAUUCCAUCCAGGAUGUAAGAAAUUGGGCAUCACUCAUAUCAGCUUUGCUGAUGAUCUCCUGCUGUUUACUAAGGGUGAGCAACAAUCUGUAGUGACCAUGUUCAAAUACUUCUCUCAAUUUACUGAAGCUUAUGGGUUGAAAGCUAACUUGACCAAGAGUUCAGUCUACUUUUGAGGGGUAAAACCUGAAAUUCAGCAACAUAUAACUGACUACCUAGGCUAUGUAUAUGGAGAGUUACCUUUCAAAUACUUAGGUAUACCUCUAUCUACAAAGAAGAUGACUGUGAUCCAAUGGCAACCACUGGUGGAUGGAAUUACUGCUAGAAUCACAUCCUGGACUGCCAGGAAACUAUCCUAUGCUGGAAGACUUCAAUUGGUUCAACCUGUGAUCUUUGGUAUUCAAGCCUAUUGGGCUCAACUUUUUCUCAUAUCAUCAAAAAUUCUAAAGCUUAUUGAGGCAAUGUGUAAGAGCUUUAUAUGGUCUGGGACAGUGGGUAUUACUAAGAAAGCAUAUAUUGCAUGGGAUAAAAUGUGUCUGCCAAAAUUAGCAGGAGGAUUGAAUCUCAUAAACCUCUUGUUAUGGAACAAAGCAGCUAUUGCUAAGUUAUGCUGGGACUUGGCUCACAAGAAGGAUACUUUGUGGGUUAGAUGGAUUCACACAGUAUAUAUAAAACAACAAUAAUUAGAAGUCAUGCCUAUACCCAAACAAGCUAGUUGGAUGGUUCGGAAGAUUAUUGCAGCAAGGGAAUUACUGCAGCAACAUCAGAGUAUCCACAGACCAAUGUGCUCCAUUAGAUUGUUAUACCUGCUUCAGAUUGGUCAGCUCCCCAGAGUUGCUUGGAAGAACUUAACUGCCCAAAAUUAUGCUAGGCCAAAAGCAGUAUUUAAUCUAUGGAUACUUCUUCAGAACAGACUGCCUACGAAGGACAGAUUGCUACAGUGGAGUAUGAAUGUAGACAACACUUAUGUGUUAUGCCAACAAGCCUCGGAGACCAGAGAACACCUUUUCCUGCACUGCUCCUUUGCUAGUCAAUUAAGACAACAGACACUGGAUUGGCUUAAGGUAAUUCACCCCAAUUUCCUACACUGGGAUCAUUUUGUUCAAUGGAUCAUUGAUCAUGCUAAAGGGAAAUCGAGCCGGGGUUAUUCUCAUCUUAGAGGUAACCCUAAGAUGAGAAUACAGCUUCAGCAAUUUCUUCUGUAAAUAGAGGGAUAGGUAAGUGAUAGUUUGAUAUAGAAUUUAGAUAGGAUAGCCAGCUGUGUAAUAGCCGCGCUACGGUUUAGUACUGAAAUCUCUUUGGUAAGGAUAUUUGAAAAUGUCCUUUGUAGUUGUGAUAAACUACUUAGGUCUAUUGCUUUCACUUGUAAUAUUAGAGGUAACCCUAAGAUGAGAAUACAGCUUUAGCAAUUUCUUCUGUAAAUAGAGGGAUAGGUAAGUGAUAGUUUGAUAUAGAAUUUAGAUAGGAUAGCCAGCUGUGUAAUAGCUGCGCUACGGUUUUGUACUGAAAUCUCUUUGGUGAUUAAUACAAACUUUUAAUUACCAAAAAAAAAGUUUAAUCAUAAUAGGUAUCUUUGUAUAAAAUUUGAUAUUUUCUUAAUAGGCAUGCUAAAAGUAAAUUAGACACUUAUUAUAAACCAGAAGGAGUAGUAUUAUAAAGCUUUGCUCAUACUAUCAAAAUCAGACACAAUAAAGGAGGACUGCACUAGUAAAACAAAUGAGACUCUUUACAAACGAAAUUAUCUUCACAUCCUAAGUGGUUUGGUUGGAAUACGAUUUAUACCGAUAUAAAUUAUACCUGAAUAAGUUAUAUUGAGAUAAAUUAUGUUGAGAUUAGUUACGUUGGGAUUGUUAUUUAUUCAUUGUUUAGUAUGUUAUAUUAAGAAUGACAAUUGCAUAAUUUCUAUGAAAAGGAUAUAAGUUAUACCGGUACUAAUUACCCUACCUUCUAUAAAGUAUAAGUUAUCCUAGUGUUAAAAUUAACGCCGAAAUAACUUACACCUAGUUUGCUAAGUAAACAAAAUAUUAAAAUGGUAUUAAAUUUUUAGACCACCCUUAUACCUCGUACCAAACGCCCCCAGUCCUUUUCUAAUUUAAUCCUUUGUUAGUUACAGCAUAUCUUUGCUGCAAAUAGUAGAAUUGAUCUAUUUUUUACUCAACACGUCCACUUUAUUUUUAUAUUUUAAUCAUAAAAAGCAAGUUCUAAAUCAAGAAGCUCCAUUGGUCCAAUAGCAAAUAAACCAAGCUCACAUAUUUCAUGAAAUGGUAUCAAUUUGGCACUUUGAAGUUUACAGACACAAACAUAUCCCCACUCCAUCCAACAAGUAUGCAACACAGCAUUGAAGAUAUUUCUCUGGGACAAAUUUGACAGCCAGAAAAAAAAAAAAAAAAGAACUCGAUGCACAAGACAUCCAUGUCACAUAAGGUGUGAUGUAGACAGUCUACCCUUAUGCAAGCAUUAAUGACCGUUUCUGCCGCUCGAACACAGAGACAAAUUUACCAUUACUCCAAAACAGCCACAAAAAGGGAAAAAAGAAUAAUGACAACUUGUGGCACAGAAUGACAUGAACCUACCCCAAAGCUUAAUUUAAACUCAGCAAAACUCUUCUAUCUUUUUUGAAAAAAAAAAGAGAGCAGUGGUUAAAAUCUGCUGGUGAUGUUGGCAUCGCCCUUACUAUUCCUCAAAGUUUUGUCUAAACGAACUUGCACAAAGUUCUGCGUACGCUACUGUAUCCCCACACAACUGCUGUGAAAAUGCCAUAUAUAUCACACAGGAGAAGAUGAGUCCUCCAGCGAUAGCUAGGAUCAUAACCAUCAACCUCUGCCAUAAGCACGAACGAAGAAAAUGGAAAAAAUUUUCUGGGAGAAUUUCUCUUAAAUUGAAAGUUUCUUUCGGACUAUUCAGCAGUAUGUUGUUUGCAGCCCUUAGGUCCAUAAUGCUGGGAGCUUCGCUUCACAUUCUUUCUACAAAGGUAACAAUAAUGAUUCUGGCACGCCCAACAGAAUAUGUGAUUGUUAUUGCCAACCUGCGAUGACGAUGACAAAGGAAACGAGGACGACUUAGCUACUAUGUUAAACAGAAAGAAGGAAAAUGAAGAGAAUAAAUCUGCUCAACGACAGGAAAAAACUUUAAAAAGUAGACGAUGAAAAGGACCCUUUCCCCACAAAUAGACAGAUUCAAUACAGUAAAGAAAGAAUAACAGAAUAUGAACAACAUUAUGAGUUCUAACAUAAACUCUAUAAAGAGAAUAAAAGUUCAUAUGCUAAUUUCAUUAGCUCACCAUGGAAAAAGUAACUGUCAAUGUAUUUUCUGAUAACAUUAAACUAUAUGUCCUUUCCAUGAUGACGUUACACAUAAUCUAAUAAACAAAAUGUAGAAUUUAAUCUCUCUGAAAGCUAGAUCCAUGGUUCAGAGAGAAUACCUAUAUGUCCUUUCCAUGAUGACGUUACACACAAUCUAAUAAACAAAAUGUAGAAUUUAAUCUCUCUGAAAGCUAGAUCCAUGGUUCAGAGAGAAUACCUGUAUCUGCAAUUUAAAAAUUGUCGACAACUGCAUUAACAAAAAAGUAUAUGAAGCAAAAAGUAGUUAACAACUUUCAGUUACUCCUGUAAGUCAAAACACUGGUUACACGAUAUAUAACUAUGGGUAUGACAAUCACACUAAUCGGAAAAAUUUGGGCGAAAAAGAACUCAACUAACAUCAUCUCUAGUUAUAGGCAAGACAAUUAACAGGAGAGGCGCGAUUAGGCAGAGGUAUGACAAUCACACUAAUCGGAAAAAUCUGGGCGAAAAAGAACUCAACUAAAAUCAUCUCUAGUUAUAGGCAAGACAAUUAACACGAGAGGCGCGAUUAGCCAGGCGCUCAUAAUCUCAAUCUGCAUUAACAUUUCAACUUCAAACUAUGAAAAGGUGCGAAACAACGGCUUUAAGGAAAAAGAAAUUGAGAACCCGUCUUACCUUUGCAUUCAUUUGGCCACAAUUAGGGCAAGGAUGACCAUGAUUAGCAUAGAUUUGAGCUUGAAUCUGACCGAUCACUUGGCGAUGAUUAAUCCUCUCUUCCCACAUCUGAAUUGCUUCUGGUUGAAAAAGUUCACAUUUCCCCUCCCUUUAACAAGAAAAAGCCCCUCAAAUAAGCAUAUAAAUGAAAUAUCAAGGUCACAGACAGAGGACAAACGAUACGUGAAGCCAUUCUACAGUCGAAACUUGUACCAAACCUGAAGUGCUCAUAUCCUUUAAUUUCCUGAUUACAGCGAUAGCAGAAAUAUGUUCCACAGUUAUCGCAAACCAUCUUAUUGCAGCCUUCAGUUCGCGAGAUAGUCAUCUUACAGGAAGGGCACUGCUUCGCGGAACGGUGAAUUUCCUUCAUACUGAGAAUCUCAUUGAUUAUUUCUUUCUCACGGUGCCUUUGGUCAUCUUUAAGUUGAGAUGAAUUCUGUCGCUCCUGAUGCAAUAGAUUAAUAAGACGAUCUAAAUAUAAACCUCUAGAUAGAUAAGUUAUGAAAUAGAAGAACGAUGGUCUCAAACUGCAAAUAUCAUUAACAUGGAAUAGUAGAGUAUAGAAGGUGAUCCCUAUCAGCUCUUCCUUAUAGUACUAGAAUUCUGGGGAAGACCCUCACAGUAUUUCCAAUACUAUGUAAAAUUGUUUAUGAACCAGGGUACCUUAGGGUUUAACCUCUUUAGGCUACUUUGUUGUGCCUAUUUUCUAUGGCCAAGAUCUAUUGAAGGAGGAAGAACAGGAAAUUGGCACCUAACUUACCAUAUUUUCAGCAUUAUGGGCCGUUGGAAGGUCGUAGAGGGGGACACAACAUAACAUCUAAAGGAAUUGAUAAGUCCAUGUUUACAAUUAAGGCCUUUUCGUUUUCGGCCUUUUCAUUCUUUAUCACUUAAUCGAUGACAUGGAAAUACCUAAUAAUAAUUUUCAUGAAUGUACUUCUGCGAAAAUUUUGAGUCAGGAUUAUCUUCAAGUAUUUUACUGUAUGUAAGCGACCCUUGAUUAAAUAAAAUUGUAAAUGAUUACAUUCCGCAGACAGUGCAAGUAAUAAAGGAUAAAAUGAGAUUAGGUUGAUUGAAAUGGUUUAGUUUGUAGAAGCACUGCUAUGUAGGUGCGACGAUACAAUGAUUGAAGGUGAUAAAACUGGACAAUGUACACAAAAAACCACAGAGAGAAAAAAACAUUAUGAAAGCAAAGAAUCCAUACUGGCACACCAACUAGUUGGGAUUAAGGCUUAGUUGUUGUUACUGCACUUCACAUUAGGUUUGGUAUAAGGAGAUUUUUAUGCAAAUUAGAGACUUGUAUAUCUUUAUAGAGAUAAGUUUGUGAUUUAGAGAACCUCCAAUUCUAUAAAACUCCUAAUUUUACUUAAAAGACAAAUUAUUUAGUGUUGGCAUGAAAUGGAACUGAAAGAGAGUGAUGGAAUCUUGCUAAUUCGCAUUGAGGCAUAGUUGAUUGAUUGGUUGAUACUGAAACUUAACCAACAUCUAGAGGAGGUAAAAGAAAAUUUGUAGGACAAUCCUUAGCAUAAGCUCCUCUUUUUAGUAAUAAACAGGCCAAUCCUUGUAAGGGAAAGAACAUUAUGAAGUUAAGACAAGACAAAUACCUGCAAAAUAAGAAGCUUCAUUUCUGGUGUCAUGCACGUAACUCCGACAUGACGCUUCUCUUUGCAUAAUGUACAAAAACUGUAGAAGCAUUUUGCACAUUGGGCAUGCUCAUCUUCAUCCUCGAUGCAUACUGUUUCGCAUCUUGGACAGUAGCACACAUCAGACAUUGAUUCCAACGUUUUCUGUAACAUCAAUGAUUCCCAACGUUCAAACUCCACUUCACCGAGUAACCGAUUUAGCAAACCCGGAGGAAUCAUACCUCCACAUUUUGCCUCAGGGCACAGAAGCUUACUGAUUGUACCUUCCUUGACGUGCAUAUUGGAGUAAGUUUUCAUGCAACUCCAGCAGAAAAAGUGUUGACAUGGCAACCUCACAAACUCCACACCUGAUAAAAACAAAAGUUUCAGAACCCACUUAUCACUUGAGAGGUUAUUGGAUAUCCGAUUUCCUAUAUGUUCACACCUAAUGUGUACAUAAAAGAGAGGGAAAGAGGUGGGAAUAUCUCCUUCUGUGUGUUCGCGUAUUUUCUAAAACUGAAAAUGCAUGCAUGCGUACUCAGAACAGGAUGGAUCUAUGAUGGGAAGAAUAACAGUAAGAAUCAAGUUAAACCACAGAAUGAGCAGAGAUAUAAUAGAAUGCCGUUUUAUUUGUUUUCCUCACACAACAACCAAGGAGAUACAACAGUAGUGAAUAUUAAAGAUAAGCAUCUGAAUACACAACCUUAUCUUCCUUGUAUAUAGAAAUAGAAAGAUCAGAGAAACGCGGAAGAGUCUGAACUGGUUACACUUCCGAAGGUGGCAAAACAGGCAGCAAAUGUUCCAUACCAUUCAUGAAGAAGAUUCUCCUUGUUACUAAGCUAGUGAAAAAGGACUGAACAAAAGGUUGAAUCGUAAGUAAACUUCCUCCUUAACUUGAUCGGAUCACACAACUUCCCCUCAAUGAUUGGACUGAAACCUUGUCGAUUAACUUUUUUGGACUCAAGUUUAUUUUUUAAAUUCCAGGGACAUUACGGCUUUUUACAAUAUACUAUUAUAAACAAAAUAAAGCAUAAGAUUUCGAAAAUACCAGGAAACUCGCUGAAACAUAUGCAACACUGAUGAAUGUUUUUACGGAAAUUCUCAUGGCGUUGUUCCUCGUCAUAGUUCUUGAGUGAGGGGAUAUCAACCUCUGGUGAGACAGUUCCUGAAAUUGCUCGGCGAUCUCCAAUAUGACUCUUGGCACAAAAACUUAGCUUUAUUUCUUGAUCAAACUGAAAAUGAGAAAGAGAAGAGCUAUGCAACCACUCCACCCACUGGUAUAUAACCUCUUGACCUAAUUGAUCCUUCCACAUUGAAUCAAGCAUAGAGCAAAGAGAGGAAAUGUUUGCCAAAUCCAACCACUGGACAGAGAUUGUAAAGUGAGGAGCAAGAUGGCUUGGAUAUGAUUUAGGUAAUAAACACGUUAACAAAAUUGGUGGUAAAUGCUCAACUUUGAAUGAGUAUGAGCACUCAGGUGAACUAUCCUCUGGUAUUUCUAGAGCACCAGAGGAACUUAAAUUUACAAACACCAUCAGCUCAUCAGGAACUUCAAUAUGUAUAUGAAUCUGCAAAUUAGCACAAAAUGAGCUUUGGUUUUUCAGAGUAAAGCAUAGUUUGUGAGUUUAUCAAGACACUACAAUACCUGAAAAGAUCGUAGGCCAUUUUGUCUAUCAAGAAUGAAGACAUUGUCACCAUAAAUUGAUUCCAGCACUAGUAACUGCAAAGAACCACCUAUAAUGUCAAAAUGUCCUUUAAAUAAACAAAUGAAAAUAAAGAUGGAGAGGGAGAUACAGAGAAGAGGAUUUAUAUUUUCUUGACAAUUAAUUAUCUCAGUACACCAUACUGCACACUCUAACACCAAGAGAACACUCACACAAGUUAAGUUCACAUCAGUGUUUCCAAACGCGAAAAGCGCAAAAAAUCUCCAAGGUACAUCGGGGCUUUAAGCGCAAAUAAAACGUGGACUUUAAUUUAAAAGAAGCACAAAUAGAGAUAUAAAUACGCAUGUGUAAUCCAAGACAAAUAGUUAUAAGCAUGAAUAAUAAAUAUAUGGAUAAAAAAAUAAUUUUUCUUACAAUAAACGGAGAUCUAUUAAUCAAUAUGAAUCUCGAGAGUGGAUGGUUGAUCGCCGCCUCCUUGUCCUGGAGGCUCUCCGGCCGGGGAGGGGCUUGCUAUCGUAACCUUUUCUCCCGGUGUAUGUGAAAAAGAGUGACGAACUCAUUUUUAUUCGGUCAUAGGUUGGUCCAAAGAACGAGAGUCGGCUUCCAACAUUAAGUCCGUUGUUCCUCAGUAGCUCAGUGGUAGAGCGGUCGGCUGUUAACCGAUUGGUCGUAGGUUCGAAUCCUACUUGGGGAGAUUCUGAGGCCUAUCGCCAGUAUCUCUUACCUGUUCGGGUCAUUCUCCCAUUCUUCGAUCUCUNNNNNNNNNNNNNNNNNNNNNNNNNNNNNNNNNNNNNNNNNNNNNNNNNNNNNNNNNNNNNNNNNNGGUCAUUCUCCCAUUCUUCGAUCUCUAGAUCGAGUUGCUAGCUUCUUGUCUACCAGUCCUGGAUGUAGAUUCUCGACGAAUCAGCGGUAUUUCCUUCGUCAUUUGAUUUGUUCUCCGAUGCCAAUCUCUCACUUGUUUAGGUUUGCCUCUUCAGGAUUACGCUUAUUGGCAAGGAAAAGUAUGCCUUAGAGAGCUGAUGACAACACUGAAGCGUCCGCUAAGCAAGGCGAAGAGCUCAACAUGUUUUAAGCCUCGUUUUAGGGCUUAACCGCGCUUUAAGUGCGGCUUUGACAACACUGGUUCACAUUAGCCAUAUCUCCACAAACGUUUAAAUUACAAAUGAAAAGGAAAAGGAAACAAUUUCCCUCUCACACAAGAUUAUUCAACUACUUGUCAUAUACUAGCCCAACCAUAAGAAACCAAGAACAUGCUAAUGCAAGAUGCAAUUUUUUAACCAUAUUCCACUCAUUUCAUAUUGAAUAAUACAAGGUAUAUAACAUUUCCACAUCAGAUACUACUGCAUUGAAAUCCGGAAACCUAUUCCACAAUGUGAGAGGCUAGCUGUGAAGGAAGAUAUUUGACUAGACAUGGAGCUUAACAUGCUAAUCUAACUUAUACUCCCUCUAUCCCAAUUUAAGUGAUGCUCUUUCAUUUUUAGUCUAUACCAAAACAAAAUGAUAUCUUUUUAUAUUUGAAAAAAAUUAAACUAUAAACUUUCAGUUUAACUAUGGCCUGUUUUAGACGAUAACUAUUUGUUCAUAUACUAGCCCAACCACAAGAAACCAACAAAAUGCUAAUGCACGAAGCCCAACCUCCCACUCAUUUUGAGUGGAACAGUGACAUGGUUCGAUUAUAGCAUUUCCACAUUAGAGACUACUCUCACUGCAUUGUAAACCUUAAACCUACACCACGAUGUGAGAGGCCUAGCAACAAAAGAUGGUACUUCCUUUGUGACGGUAUUUGACUGCACGUGGAGUUCAACAUGUUUUUUUUAUGAUAGUGGUGUCCGUACCCCUAUGCACCUUGACUACUCUAUUGGGUACCCUCCCACCAGUAGAAAUACCAGGCUUAGGCCGGAGGACAAGAUUUGAACCCAAGACCUAUGGUUCUCUUCCCACUUUAUUGACCACUAGGCUACACCCUUAAGUGUGAGUUUAGCAGGCUAAUUUGACUAACCGUACAUAUUUUGUAAUAAUAAUUAUAGAAUAUAAAAUUUAUAGUCGAAUGACAUCAAAGUUUAAAUUUUUAAUAAAGAAAUAUAAGGUUUUACCUCAUCUUCCUGAGCUUGAUCGUUGAUUCUGAGCUGUUCAGCCGAUAAAUCGGGCUCCUCAGCACCCAAUUGCAGCUCCUUUAGUCUUCUCCAAAUACAAUCAACAUCAUUAGCAUACAAAACAGACCCCUCAACUUUCUGUACACUACCACCAUUAUUUUCCAAAACAGGCCCCUCAACUUUCACCUUCUCUACACUUUCACCACUCUUUUCUUCCUCUUUAACACUUUCUUGUUUUACAAUAUCUACUUCAUCCUCUUUCUUCUCGAAGUUUCCACUAACCACAUGAGCACGCCGAUUCUUGAACACCCUUUUGGAAUUUUUGUUAUUCUGAGGGUUGCUUUGGUCUUUUGGAAUAAACUCUGAAAUGGGUUCUUGUUUUGAAACUUCUAUUGGAUCAAUUGGAUUUUGAUUGAGAGGAGAUUUGAUUACCCAAUUUUGAUUAUUGAAUUGGCGAGGAGAAUUAUGAGUUGGUUUUGAUCCUCUGCGACUUCCCUUUGAACUUGACAUGGAGGAAAAAUAAGCUUUAGUUUUACCAGCGAAAAAAUAGUUGAAUUGGUGGCACAGAGGCGGAGUGAAACACAAGGCGGUUGGUAUUUAUAGUAUUCUGAGCCUGACAGUUGAGGAAAACGGCUGGCUUUUUUGGUGUCCGCUACCUAACCUUUUGCCCGACGAGGUUCAAAUUCAAUGUGUCAUUUUAAACAAAUCAAUUUGGUAACUAUAAAAUAGCACGGAAUUAGGAUUUUCAUAAUAUAAAGAAGUAAAUAUAGGGGUGGAUAUAGAACCCGCUUGAAUAAGUUGAAUAAAUAGCUGAUAAGUUUAUGGCAAAAGAAAUUUUUAUGUUUAAAUUUAUUUUUUAAAUAAGUAUUUACGUAUUUGUUUAGAAGUGUUAAAAUUGAUAAUAACUAGUUGAUGUAUUUGAAAGAAUACCAAUACGCUAUUUUUUUCAUUAAAAUGAUGAAACUACGCUUAAAACUUUAUAAAAUUUAUAAAUUUCAAAAAAAAUUACAAAGAAAAGGAUGAACAACGAAUAUGGAAUGAAGAUAAAAGUUUGAAAAUUUAUUUUGGGAAAAGCAUUUCGUGAAUUACAAAAUAUUAUUAAGGUGAAAUAGUAAAAGUUUUGGAUGGUUGAUUUUAGUUUAUAUGUACUUGGUUCAUAAGCACUUUGAGUGUUUACAAAACUCAUAGAUAAGCCAAGAAAUGCAUAUAAGUCAGUUUGACCAGUUUACAACCUUAGCAAAUGUCCUCGUAGCCUUUCAGUUAUAGCCUCAACUAAACCCAUAACUUACACUACAAUGAGUUUAACACUAAAAUUUUUAAAAGUUAAACAUAUUAAAUUUAAAUCAUGAUUUUACCUUUAUACAAGUGAAUAAGUUAAGAGAAAAUUUAACAUAAUAUAUAUUCAAUCUUAUUUGCACAAUCCAAUAAUUUUUAAAUUUUGAAAUAUGUUUAGUUUACCACACACGAACUCUUCGAGUGUGGUUGUUUGUGCUUUCAAGCAAUAAGAUUGCUUGCUAAACUAACCACUUUUGACGAAAUGCCCUACUCUCAUAGUUGUUCUCAGUGAAUGUUGUCUUUUGGUGUGGGCGUUUGCGUAUUAGUUGUUAGCAAGAGCAGAAUCAAAUAUUUAUGGCUACUUUAUUAUUAUCAUAGAAUAUUUAAAAACAUAAAUUUUAACAAAAUAUAACUACCAAAAUACCAUGAUUUUUUUCUUUUUUUUCUUUAACAGCUUGUUUUGAUAAUUUGUUACCUAUUAUUUCAUAAUAUAUUAUAUUAUAUUAUAAUGCAAUAUAUUAUAUUAUUUAAAAAAAGAGGUCUUUAGGGUUAGGCUAAAAGAAUAUCUCUCUCAUCUGAGCAACUUUCAUUACGAUAGCACCUCUAGAGAUUUGUGACUACACAUAUAUUAUACUCUCACAUUUAGUUGUCUAAAUUUGCUAACUACAUUUAAAAAAGAAAACAUUUCAAAGAGUUUUCUAGCUAUUUCAAGAAAUUUGCUGAUGACACCAAAAAUGAAGAUUAAAGAAUAUUUAGGUUGUGUUUGGUACGAAGGAAAUUUUUUUUAAAAAAUAUUUUUUAUUUUUUUUAUGUUAGAUUUUUUUUUUUUCAGUUAAAGCUUAAUAUUCAUAUAUACUGGCAUUAUCGACAAAUCAAGAAUGGAAGAAGGAUCCAAUCAACUUUGGUGUAGCUAGGUUCUUCGUCUCAGUGCUCUCUCGGCGGCCAGCUCGUGGUGCAAAUUGACCUUUUCCCUUCUCCUUUCUAAAGCAAAAAAGAAUGUCAUCAUUCUGAUCGUGACUUUAUAGCAAAAGAUGUAUAAAUGUUCCUACGAGUAGCUGGUUGGACAGUCAGCUACUAAUUCUAUUUACAUUUCAAUUCUAUGAAACUACCAAAAGAAGCACAAAAUCAUAUGUAUUUGAGUUUCACAAGUAACGACACAAAAAAAUAGUUAUGGGAAGCAGUUGAGUUGUCGUAGACCGGUCUGCCAGCUUCUACUAUGUCUCCCACGAAUGUGAAGGAGCAGUGCAAUCUCUCUAGUGGUUCUGUCUUCAUCAUACGCCAAAUUCUGAAAACGUAUUUUGUUCCUCGAUUGCCAUAUUAAAGCUACGACAUGUACAAAGGCAGCAACAGUGAUAGCAUUCCUCCAUGCACGACUACGAGUUUUACUGCAUAUCCAUUUCAGUUCACUGUCCCAGUCAAGGAUUUGUCUCGCAUUGCCCAGCCAACAGCCAAUUCUAGACCAUAAACUCUUAGUAACACUACAUUCAAAGUAAAAAUGCAGCAGCAGUGAUAGCAUUCCUCCAUGCACGACUACGAGUUUACUGCAUAUCCAUUUAGUUCACUGUCCCAGUCAAGGAUUUGUCUCGCAUUGCCCAGCCAACAGCCAAUUCUAGACCAUAAACUCUUAGUAACACUACAUUCAAAGUAGAGGUGCUGGAAGGUCUCCACCUGUUGUUUGCAGAACACACACAGUGAAGGGAUUUGAAUACCAAAGUUUGCUAAUCUAUCCACAGUAGGUAACCUUUUCUAGACAGACAACCAAGCAAUAAACUUGUGUCGCGGCAGUACAUUUUGAACCAGAAGUAGGUUCCUCCAGUCGACUCUAUCAAAUCUAGGAAGCAUACUGAUAUAUACAGUGAAGGGAUUUGGAUACCAAAGUUUGCUAAUCUAUCCACAGUAGGUAACCUUUUCUAGACAGACAACCAAGCAAUAAACUUGUGUCGCGGCAGUACAUUUUGAACCAGAAGUAGGUUCCUCCAGUCGACUCUAUCAAAUCUAGGAAGCAUACUGAUAUACAGUUUUUGGAUUUGAAUUUUGUUGAGGCAGCACACAGUCUUGAAUCUGUCAGCAACGGAGCCUUGCAGCUGCUGGUUGUUCAAAAGAUCAUCUCUGCAUUGUAUUAUUUCCCUGAUGACCCAUGCUGCUUGCUUGGGUACAUUUACUGUGCCAAUAUCAGCUUUCUUAAUGUAGUAGCAGUGAACCCAGCGGACCCAUAGGCAGUUCUUCUUCCUAGCAAGGUCCCAAAGUAGUUUUGUGAUUACUGCUUUGUUCCAGAUUGUUCAGAAGAUCAUCUCUGCAUUGUAUGAUUUUCCUGAUGACCCAUGAUGCUUGCUUGGGUACAUUUACUGUGCCAAUAUCAGCUUUCUUAAUGUAGUAGCAGUGAACCCAUCGGACCCAUAGGCAGUCCUUCUUCCUAGCAAGGUCCCAAAGUAGUUUUGUGAUUGCUGCUUUGUUCCAGAUGGUUACAUUCAAUAUAUUCAGGCCACCAGCAGUUAAAGGUCUGCAUACUCUAUCCCAAGCCACUAGGGCUCUUUUAGAUACACUGGCAGCUCCUGUCCAGAGGAAAGUCCUACAUAUUGUGUCAAUAGCUUUUAAUACUUUCUUUGGCAAGAGGAAGACCUGGGACCAAUAGGCUUGUAUGCCAAAGAUGACAGCCUUAAUUAGCUGACAUCUUCCAGCAUAGGAUAGAAGCUUUGCAGACCAGCAGGUGAUCCUAGCUGUGAUUCUCUCAAUGAGAGGCAAGUAUUGAUGUAUGGAGAGUUUCUUAGAAUCCAGGGGGAUGCCCAAGUAUCUAAAGGGAAGUUUGCCUUCACUGAAGCCCAAGAGUUCUAUCAAUUCUGUUCUUAACUCUUGUGGUACCCCUGCCAGGUAGAUGGCACUCUUGCUUGCAUUUGCUUCCAGACCAGAAGCCUUAGAAAACUUGAGGAAAGUUUGGUGUAAGAUCUAAAUGGAAAUGGUGUCUGUCCUUUGGCUGGGAAACCAUAAGCUAUCAGAAUCUGCUACAAGAAGGGCCGUUCCAGUGUGUCAUAAGCUUUCCUCAAGUCGACUUUCAGUACAUCGAGGAGAGACACCCUUUCUAGAGUAUCCUUUGAAGAUCUCAUGACUGAGGAGGAUAUUAUCAGCAAUACUUCUUCCUUCAAUGAAUGCAGACUGGGCUAGGCCAACUAGAUCAGUGAUAACACCUUUUAGUCUUCUGGUAAUGAUCUUUGAUAUAAGCUUGUACAAGGUAGUGCAGCAGGCAAUGGGUCUGUAAUCCUUGACAGUAGCAGGUGACCUGAUCUUGGGAACCAAUGCAGUGGCUGUAGUGUUAAUCAUAUGAGGCAUAGAGCAAGAAGUGAAAAACUCCCUUGUAGCAGCUAAGACAUCAUGCUUGAUUAUCUCCCAGUUCUUAGUCUAGAACUCCACAGGAUAACCAUCCACUCCAGGAGAUUUGUUUUGUAGCAGCUAAUACAUCAUGCUUGAUUAUCUCCCAGUUCUUAGUAAAGAACUCCACAGAAUAACCAUCCACUCCAGGAGCUUUGUUCUUUGGCAUGUCAUGCAGAGCAUCAGAUACCUCCUCCAUAGUGAUAUCCCUAAUGAACAUCCUCUGUUGAUCUAGGGACAAACAUUUACCUGUUUUAAUGGUAGUAAUAUCAACACUUGGCAAUUCCUCAGCACAUACUCCCAUCAGGCCUUGGAAAAAUGCAAGAAACUCUUGUUCCAUCUCUGUUGGAUUAGAGAGUUUUACUCCUGUACCAGUGCAGAUUGAGUUGAUGGUUGCAAUUCCUCAGCACAUACCCCCAUCAGGCCUUGGAAAACUGCAAGGAAUUCCUGUUCCACAUCUGUUGGAUCAGAGAGCUUUACUCCUGUGUCAGUGCAGAUUGAGUUGAUGAUAUUUUGACAGUUCCUGAUCUUCCAUUGAGCAUGGAAAUAUCUAGUAUUUGCAUCUCCACAGUCAAUCCAAGUAGCCUUUGACUUCUGCCUCAGCACUUGUUCUUCCACACUGCUCCAUUUUUCUAAUUCUGCCAAUGCUGCCCUUUCCUCAAGAAGUAAGUCCUGUGAAAGUGGUGUGAUCUGCAGUUGAGUCUGAAUAAUAUCAAGAGACUCCCUGGCCUGGAUAAUUUUCUGAUUGUAGGAUGCCAUAUGAUUGUUGACCUCCUUUAGCUGUUGCUUCAAGAGCUUCAGUUUUGACUACACCUGUUGCAUCGCCAUAUGAUUGUUGACCUCCUUUAGUUGUUGCUUCAAGAGCUUCAGUUUUGACCACUCCUGUUGCAUAGCAUUGCCUCUGCAGUUCUGGUUCCAUACAUGCUUGACUAUAUCUUGAAACUGUGGAAGCUCCAUGAUACCACUGUAUAGCCUGAAGGGCUUUGUAUGCAACAGCUUCUGGUCACCCAACUUGAUUAGAAUGGGUGUAUGGUCUGAGACUGAAGGGUUUAAAAACUCAGCUGCAAUAUGCCCAUACUGUUGCACCCACUGGAAAUUUCCCAGUGCCCAGUCUAUCUUGCUAUAAACUCUUGUUGAAGUGUGUUGCUUAUUUGUCCAAGUGUAGUUCUACUAAGAAAAUAGCCUGAAUGGUCUGCCCUUUUCCUUGUAUAUUCAUUUAAUGUUCUUUUUACUAAGAGAAUAGAAAAUAUUUUCAAAGCUCUUUCUCAAUCUUCUCAACCCACCCCAUCCCUUCUACAAAACUUUUUUUUUUUAAAUUUCAGUUUUUUCGUUAUCAUUCACCCUACUACCCCCAUCUUCCCCCCUCCCCCAAAAAAAAAUUUUUUUACCUUAAUUUUUUUAUUAAUUUCAAAUUUCUAUUUUUUUAUUUUUCUGCGCCACCCACCACCCGCCCGCNNNNNNNNNNNNNNNNNNNNNNNNNNNNNNNNNNNNNNNNNNNNNNNNNNNNNNNNNNNNNNNNNNNNNNNNNNNNNNNNNNNNNNNNNNNNNNNNNNNNNNNNNNNNNNNNNNNNNNNNNNNNNNNNNNNNNNNNNNNNNNNNNNNNNNNNNNNNNNNNNNNNNNNNNNNNNNNNNNNNNNNNNNNNNNNNNNNNNNNNNNNNNNNNNNNNNNNNNNNNNNNNNNNNNNNNNNNNNNNNNNNNNNNNNNNNNNNNNNNNNNNNNNNNNNNNNNNNNNNNNNNNNNNNNNNNNNNNNNNNNNNNNNNNNNNNNNNNNNNNNNNNNNNNNNNNNNNNNNNNNNNNNNNNNNNNNNNNNNNNNNNNNNNNNNNNNNNNNNNNNNNNNNNNNNNNNNNNNNNNNNNNNUUUUUGGUAAUUUAAAUUUUUAUUUUUUCCCGUUUUGCUGUCCCCCAGCCCCGCCACCCACCCCUACCCCCUCCUAAAAAAUUUAAAUAUAUUUUUUAGUUUUAAUUUUAUUAUUUAUCGGUUUAAAGGCUUAAAAUUUUAUAAGUUCCAAAAUUAUGAGUUCAGAGGUUUCUGUGUUUGGAAGUUUACAGGUUUAGAAAUUAUAAAGUUUAUGCGUUCGAAAAUCCACAGUUUUAAAAGUUUAGCAGUUCGAAAGUUUAUGAAUCCGGAAAGUUGUUGGUCUGAAAGCUUAUGGUUUUAUAUUUAUUAUAUCUAAAUUAUUUAUGAAUACUCAUGAGAAGUCAUUUUCCUUUAUUUGCAUACCAAAUACCAAAAAAUAAAUAAGAUUACUACUUAUUUUUUUAAAAAAUAUUUUUCAUUAUACCAAACACAACCUUAUUUAGACAAAUUUUAGGACAACGACCAAAAAAAACUAAAAAGUACAUAUUAAAACUUAUCAACAUAGUUAUUCUUCCAACUCGUAAGUUGCCACUCGCGAGGCAAUUUGGUAUAAUGCUCCACUGAAUAAUAUUUUUCAAUAUCCAUAUAAAAAGGAUAAACUAUGCUUUCUGUUAGUGAAAAUACAAUUACAAUUGACAGUAAAAUAAAAUAAAUAAAAUAUUUUCAGGCCGAGGCGUGGAUAUCUCGCUCUCUUUAAGGAGAUUUAGGUUUACCGCAGCAAAAUUUUCAGCAAUAAUCCUCUUAAUCUGUCUCCCCCAGGAUACAACAGCCCAAUCAUGUCGUAUGACUCGAACAAACUAUGGACAAGUUGUUGAGUCCAAAGCUCCACCAAGAUAAACACCUUCCUUCAACCAAAAAAAAAAAUCUCUCUUCUUUUUUCUCAAUUUUAACCUCACUUUAUAGAAACACUCUACAAUUAUUUUUUCAUUUCACAAUAUGGAAGAAAGAUUCUUAUUUAUGGGUGUAAGAAUUCUUCCUUGAAUUAAAUUGGAAGAAAAUGUGGUAAUAAGUUAUGAUAUCAUGGAAAACAUGAGAUAAUUAGUGGUAAAACGUGGGAGAAGAGUUAUAAAAGAGUUAUAGUCAUUUUCUACUUCAUGGAGUAGUGGGAGUUAUAGGAGUUAUGACCAUUUACUACGUCAUGGAAUAGUGAGAGUUAUAGAAAUUUAUUUUAAUAAUGAAAUGCAAUUACAUUAACAUUUUCCUACUCAUUUUAAUAUUAAAAUAUAUAAGAGAGUUUACCAGUUGAAUGGAGACUAUCAUGUAUAAUGAAGGUGUGUUUUGCAUUGAACCUCCACUUAGCAAAACAGCGAUCUUUACUCCAAAGUCAGUAUUGGUCUCAUAUUUGAACUAUGACUGCUUUAGGGAAAUUAAAUAUUAAUGCUUACACAUAAUAAUGAAGGUGUCGACAUGAGCUUUAUUAGUCACCACAUUACGGCCUUGUUCUAUCCCGAUUUUCAUGAGUCUUUAUUAACAAGACCAAUUCUCAUAGAAAGCGGCCUACUUCCACACUCACGUAGGUGAAAUCUGUCAAGGGUAAUCCUAUAACUCUAACACCCCAUGCAUACGAGCUGCAGAUUUUUAUAUUAAGAGUUAAUAAAACUCAACCUCGAAAAUCAUUACAGGAUAAAUGAACUCACACCAUAAGGAUGGAAUAAUAAUAAAAAUACUGCAUUUUAAACCAAGCCAUCAUACGAUUCGUUCUUCCCAUUGAACCUGGUUAUAGGAUCUGUAGUCUCCAGGUUGGGUUUCCUCAAAUAUGAUUUAUGAACUUCAAUAUCAUCCCCCUUGAUGUGCUCCAGACCGUUUCUCUUGCUAAGGCCUUAGUCAGUAGAUCUGCAAGAUUGUCAUAAGAUUUAACAUAAUCAAUAUUAAUGGUAUCGCUUGUCAAAUAUGAUCUCAUAGUACUAUGUUUUCUCCUUAGUCUGGAUUUACCGUUGUAAUAACGAUUUUGUACUUUACCAAUUUCAGCUGUGCUAUCACAAUGAAUUAAAAUAGGAGGAAUUGAUUUUUCAAAAUAAGAAAUUUGAAAUAAUAAAUCUCUCAACUAACUCGCUUCAUCACUAGUUGAAGCUAAAGCAAUUAGCUCAGCCUCCAUGGUAGAGUUACCAAUUAUUAUUUGCUUUUUCGAUUUCCAACAAAUAGCACCAUCUCCCAGAGUAAAAAAUAUAACCUAUAGUAGAACAGGAAUCAUCAGAUAAAGUGUUCCAAUCUGCAUUAGAAAAGCUUUCGAGUACAGCAGAAUUUUUUUAUAUAAAAUAAGCCAUAUGUUUUUGCACCAAAUAAAUACCUCAUAACUCUUAUGGCAUUCCAAUGUUCUUUACCUGGUUUGCUUGUAAACCUGCUAAGUACUUAUACUACGUAUCCAAUAUCAGGCCGAGUACAAUCAGUCAUAUAUCUCAUGAUUCCAAUUAAGCUAGCUUAUUCCUUUUGAUUUAUCACAUCAUUGUCACUUUGUAUAUGAAAUAAGUGAACACUUGAAUCAAAAGGGGUUACAACAUGCUAGAAAUCAAUAAAAUUAUUAUUUUUUUCAAAAUUUAUCAACGUAAAGUGACUAGUCAAGGAAAAUUCCAUCACAUGUUCUAGUAAUCUUCAUUCCAAGAAUGAAAUUUGCCGCUACUAAAUCUUUCAUGUCAAAAUGGCUACUAAGCAUGAUUUUAGUUUCUCCAAUAACAUUCAUGUUAGAGUCAAAUAUUAACAAAUUAUCAAUAUAGAGGCAAGCAAUUACAUGUGAAUUACUCUAAGACUUGUGAUAGAUGCACUUAUCACAUUCAUUCGAUUAAAACCAUUUUCUAUCAUGUAGGAAUCAAACUUUUCAUGCCACUGCGUAGGUGUCUGAUUCAAUCCAUAUAGGGAUUUAGUAAGUUUACGCACCUUACUUUCUUGGUCAACUUCUAUAAAACCCUCAUGUUGAUCCAUAUAAAUUUCUUCAUUUAAAUCUCUAUUUAAAAAAGCAGUUUUUACAACCAUUUGAAGUACAUGCAAAUUAAAAACUGCAGCAAUAGUAAUUAAAAGUCUAAUGGAUGUAAUUCUAGUUACCGGAGAAAAGGUAUCAAAAAAUUCUAGGCCUUCUAGUUGCAUAAAACUUUAGCAACUAACUUAGCUUUACACUUAUCAACCGUUUCAUCUGGGUUUAACUUUUUUCUUAAGACUCAUUUGCACCCAAUUGGUUUACAACUUGGUGGUAAUCAACCAACCUCCAAAUUUUACUAGAAAUUUAGUGACUUUAUUUUAUCAUUUACAACCUCUUUCCAGAAAAUAGCAUCAGACGAUAAUAAAGUUUCUUUUAAAGUAAGAGUGUCAUUUUCAAUAUUAAAAACAUAAAAAUUAGGACCAAAAUCUUUUUCUAUUCUAGAUCUUUUACUUCUUCUUAACUCAAAAAGCAUCAUUUUCUUCAUUUUGCAAAAUAGAAGUAGAAGAACUAGGCAUAGACAAGAAAUUAUUUUUAUCUCUUUGACCCCACUUUUUCUAAACUCAAAUAAAAAUUUAUUUUCAUGAAAAAUAGCAUCAUCUGAUUCUAUAGUUAUAUUCUCUUCUAGAUUUAAAAAUCUAGAGGUUGUACUAUUAGAAGCAUAACCAAGAAAAACACAAGUGCCAAUUUUUUCACCCAAUUUUAAGAUUUUAGGAUCUGUUAGCCUAACAUAUGCUAAAUUACUCCAAAUUUUCAGAUAACCCAAAUUUGACUUGUAAUUUUUCACAACUCAAAUGGUAUCAACUUUGUUUUAUUAUGAGGCAUCCUAUUCAACACAUAACAUGCAAUCAAAAUAGCUUUACCCUACAAAUUUAAAGGUGCAUUUGACUCAAUAAGCGUGGCAUUAGUUAACUCUACCAAAGUUCUAUUUUUUCUUUCAGCCACACCAUUUGAUGCUAGAGAAUAAGGUGGAGUAGUUUCAUGAAUUAUUCUCAAUGAUCUCACAAAAGAAUUAAAUUUAUUGGACUCAUAUUCACGGCCUCUAUCACUUCAAAUUUUUUUUAAUUUUUCUAUCAAAUUGAUUUUCAACCUCAUGGAGAUAAUUUUUAAAAUUUUCAAACGCGUUAUUUUUAUUUUUCAUCAAAUAAACAUAUGUGAAUUUAGAGAAAUUCAUAAAUAAAAGUAAGAAAAUAUCUAUUUCCUCCACGGGUUAAAAGUUCCUCCAAGUUCACAAAUAUCAGUGUAAAUUAAUUCUAACAAUUCAGAUUUUCUUUCAACUUAAAAAUGAGGCCUUUUAGUUAUUUUGGCUUUACUACAAACCUCAUAUUUUUCAAAGUUCUUUUUAAUCAUCUGGAUUAAUCCUAAACUACUUAUGAUUCACGCAUAAUGAUUAUUAAUAUGACACAAACGAGCAUGCCAAAAAUUAUUAGAAGAUAGCAUAUAAACAGAACUUGAAGUAGUUUUAUUCAUCUCAACAUUCAACUUGAACAUCCCAUCACAUUCAUAGCCCUUACCCACAAAAAUACUUUUUUUCACUAUUAUAUAUAGACCAUUUUCAAUAAUUUGUUUGAAGUUGCCUUGUUAAGAAGAUAACUAGACAUCAAAUUUUUUCUCAUUAAAUGAGUAUAUAGUACGUCUUUCAACAUUAAUACUCUUCCUGAAGUAAACUUCAACUCGACCUCUCCUUUUUCAAGCACCCGGUUGUAUGAGACUCACCAAGCAUGAGGGUUUUGGGCUCCUCAAAUGGAGUAUACACUUUAAACCAAUCUCUAUCAUAGCAAACAUGACUAUUUGCUCCAAAAUCAGUCCACCAUCCAUCAACAGUUUCUACCAUGUUAAUGUCUGUUAUCACUGCCACAAGUGGCUCUUCGGUAACGUUUGUCUAUGGUGUAGGACCAUGUUUCUGAAAUUUACAAAAUCGAGCAAUAUUCCCACUUUUUCCACAGACAAAGCAUGGUUUCACAAUUUGAACUUGUUGAUUUUGUGCUUGGUUGUUUGCACCAUUAUUUUUCUUGAGAGGUCUACCAUAAUUUUUCUUAAAAGUUUUCUUCUUCGGCUUCAGAGAAGUAUUUUUGUGAGUUUUAGAAGAAAUAUUAUUUUAAGUAAUUAAAUUUACCUUUGUAGUGACAGGUUGUAGAGUGCUCUCUUUAAUUGCAUAAGUGCAUCUUGGCCUCUUGCCUCUUCUUCCAUGCAAAUCCGCAUUAUCAACGUCUCAAGUGAGUUUAUUUUUGUUUUUAUCGCAUAAUUUUUUUGAAUUCCCUUCAUGAAGGUGGUAGUUUAUUUAUUAUGCCACAAACAAUAAGGUUGUCUCUAAUUUUAAUAUCCUCGGAGCUGAGCUCUCCAACGGUCAUUAUGAAAUCUUGAGCUUGGUCUACUACAGAUUUAUUGUCCACCAUUUGAAAACAAAAAAUCUGCUAGCAAUAUAUUUUUUCGCACAUGCCUCCUCGGUAUCAUACUUACUCUGCAAUGCUUUCUAAAUUUUCUUGGCAGUAGAGUAAGUUCUAUCAUAAUGAUCAUAAAAAUUAUUAGAUAGACAAUUAAGAAGAUAAUGCCGACACUUGUAUGAGUCAUCGUUGUAUUUUUCAGUUUUUUCUUGAAGGGCAAUUAGUUCAUCAUCAUUUAUGAAGGAGUUGUCUACUUUGCUACGAUUCUUCUCAGUUAAAACGUAAGAAACAUUGAGAAGACUCAAAUAAAUAAGUACUUUACCCUUCCAUCUCUUGAAAUGAGUACCGUUGAAACGGAAUUGCUUAUUGAGAUCUCCCACCUUGAUAUCCGCGGAUUUUUCAACUGUAGCUAUUUGAAUCUCCUUAAAAUUGUUGGUGAAAAUAAAAUUACAAUUGAAAAUAAAAUAAAAUGAAUAAAAUAUCUUCAGACUGAGGCACGGAUAUCUCGCUCUCUUUAAGGAGAUUCAAGCCCACUGCAACAAAGUUUUUUCACGGGUCCAGCAGUAAUCCUCUUGACUUGUCUCCCCCAGGAUACAAUAACCCGAUCACGUCGUAUGACUCGAAAAAACUCUGAACAAGUUGUUGAGUCCAAAGCUCCACCAAGAUGAACACAUCCCUUCAACAAAAGUAAAAAAACUCUCUUCUUCUUUUUUCAUAACUUUAACCUCAAUUUAUAGAAACAUUCUACAAUUAUUAUUUUUUAUUUCAUAAUAUGAAAGAAAGACUCGUAUUUAUAGGUGUAAGAAUUCUUCCUUGAAUUAAAUUGGAAGAAAGUGUGGUAAUAAGUUAUGAUAUCAUGGAGAACAUGGGAUAAUUAGUGGAACAUGG
rnacentral:lncRNA from 1 species